rnacentral:lncRNA from 1 species
AUGCAUCAUGAUUUCGUUAAACAUUCCUUAUGGUAUGCUUGUUCCUUUUCUUGUUCACUCACUGAGUUUAUGCUCACCGCUUUCAACUUCAUGUUUUCAGAUUACGAGGUAGCUAGUAACUAGGUCGAGGUACCUUUGUAGACUCGACUAUUGGUAGGUGUCUCAGCAUUUAGUAGCUGUACAUUCGUCAAGUUUCUCCGCUGGACAUCGAGUCUUCUUUUGUUAUGUAUAGACGAACCUAAUGUGAAUUAUUAAGAUACAUGUUGUAGACAGUGUAUAUACACUUGUUUGGUAUGCCAGUAUGAGGGGCAAUGUUCAAUAUUAUUUCGAUUCUAAGUUAUGAUAUAUGACUUAGCAGUUUAUGAUGGAAUGAUGAAUAUGUCAAAUUAAUAGGUUUGCUUGGGCUUAAUGGACUACGCCGAUUGGGUCCAUGCACCGGUCAUGGCCUAGAAGUUGGGUCGUGACAAGUUGAAAGUAUUAAUUUGGCUUAGUGCAUAUUUUAAGCAAAGAGAAGAUACACCUACUUAUGAAAAUUGUGGUAUAGACUUAAAGAAAGGACAUGCGGUUGAGAAUGAUUAGUGUAGUAGCCUUAAAAAAAGAAUAAUUACUUUGAUAAAGUAAAUUCCAGCAGUUGCAACGUCACAGUGCUGACUACCAAGCUCUGCUACUUUAAGACCCCUCAUGGCUAGAAAGCAUGAGCCACUUGUGAAUGGCAUGAAGAUGAAACUCACAAAUUGAAUUAUGGUCAUUGGCCUUGAUGCUGACUUUAGUUAUUUAGAUUUUUAAGUGCAUUGGGAAAGUAUUAAGAGAAAGAUGAAGAGUGAAUUGAAAAGUUUCUUUAUUACGCUAUAUAUUGGCAGGUGACAGAAAAGGGAGCUAGAGAGAUCUUGAGAUGAAUUACUAUGUGAAGUAUUAAGAUAAACAUUAUACAAACUAUAGUCAAACCCUAAGAAAUAAAGAGGAUAAGGGGCAAAGCCUUGUUAAAGGCUAAGGAAAAAGUGAAUGAAAAUUUAGAUGAAUGUAUGAGAUAUGGGUAAGGGAUGUCAACACCAAGUGAUGAAAGAGUGAAUAAAGGAUUACAAGGGUGGUACAGCAAAUGGUUUAUCUAGAACAAUUUUCUAAGAAUUUACAAUCCUUGUCUUGACUUAGCUAAAUAAAAAGGGUUAGUAACAACACAAGGCCAAUUGUGUGGCACACUAGAAAUCUAUGAAGAUGAGUUGGGGAUUGAAUGGAUGAGUAUGUAUAGAUAUAUCUUUAAGAAUAAGUGCAUGUCUAUAGAACGAUAUGCUCGAGAUGUUAAGGAGCAAAUAAGAGACUAAGUGUUUCAGGAAUGCACCAACAUCUUUGAGAAGGAAUUACAAAGCAUACACGGCAAGUAUAAAAUGUGGGAUUUUUGAAAAUUUACAGAGGACCCUAAUGGCUAAGUCACAGGUUAAGUGAUCACAUGCGGUGAGACAUGAGUUUAAGAUAGGUAUCCCUAAGGAAAUACUUAAGAGGAGUUCUGCUAUGAAUGUUGUGAAAGCCAACAUUAAGUUAUGUGCUUAUAAAGAGGAAGUUGUAAGCUGAAAGUGAUAUUCAUAUUGACAUUGAAAAGUACUUAAGGAGAACCUUGUUUCAAGUCUUGCAGUUUCAAGUACAAAUUGUAAAUUGGUCCAGAGAGAAUUAUGUCGCAUUAGUAUAAAAGAAUAGAACAAAGGAUGAUUGGAGAUAAUCUGGAUAAUGAAAACUUCUUAAUGUAGUAUGGAAAUUAGAAUUCAAAAAUGCAUAAGGCAUGCAUGAUUCGAAUGAGUCUAAGUUUUAAAUGACUCAUUAAAGUCGAAAUGCAAUUAGGAUAUAAUAUAUAUGUUAGAGGUAUGAAUGAAUAAAUGUCGAGAAGCUUGGCAAGGAGUGAAAUAAUAAAAUGGUGAUUAAGUAUACAUAAGUAUAAUAUGUGAUCAAAAUCUGUAUGAUUGAGAUCGAGUUAUGGUUCAAAAAUUUAAUGAUAGUGAUAGAGUCAUGCUUGGUGUCCCAAUAUAAGAGAUCAUGAUUGUGAAGGGUACUACUGAUCUGAUUCUAAAGGAUAAUAAUAGACAUAAGUGAAAUAUUCAAGUUGAACGGGAGGUGAAUGAGGUGAAUAAAUUGAAAUUCCCUAUAAAGGGAGAAAUGGAAUAUGAUCAUAGAGUGAGAUUGAUAACUCGACACUAACGUGAAUUCGAGGACAAAUUCUAUUUAAGUGGGGGAGACUAUAAUACUCCGUACUUUGAUAUGGAGACCAAUAAAGCUUAUCGAAUGCCAAUUGAAGCAUAAUAAGGUAUUUUGGGUACCAAGGAAACAAGAGGAGACAAGUGAAAAAAUUUUGAAAUAAAAUAAUAUUAAAAUAGUAAUAUUUAAUUGGAUGUUGGAGUUAGUUGUGAAGAGGGAUUACAUGGUCAAUCCAAGUGGGGGAGAAGAAUGUAUGAAGGAAUUUUGGAGGUAAAUGACGUAAGUGAGACCCGUAUAAUUUUAUUAAAUCAAACUAGCGUGUUAACUAAAUAUUUAAAUAUUAUGGCGAUACUGUGUUGAAGUGUAACUUCAAUAUUUUGGGUGUACAUGUGUAAAGGAAGGAAAUGGAAGGAAAGUGGAAUUUAAAACGUGUUGGAAGGAUCAAAUCGUAAAAGAUGAAAGUUGGAGGGUUACAUUGUAAAUAAAGAAAAGUUUGAGGAUUUAUGUGUAAAAUUUUAAUAUUUGGCAUUAAAUAGGAAUUUAUUUGUCAAAGCAGAUUAGAUUAUGUGAAAAUGUGAAUUAUACAUAGGAUUUGAAUGGGUCAAAAAAAAUAAUAAUAAUUAAAUAAAUAUGGAGUAAAAGGUAUUACAUGGCAUAAAGGAAUCAAGGAAAAAGUGUGGAAAUGCAUGUGGCGGGUGGAAAAGAAUUCAAGUCUUUAACUUUGUGAUUUUAGCACAUAAAGGACAAGGAAGCAAAGUCAAAAGAGCCAAUAAGUUGUGGGCAAUCCGCCCAUGAAAGGAAAUGGAAGAGAAAAGAUGAGAAAAUAGUGAAAUGGGGAAGAAAAGUCAAGUAAGGUGGUGGUAAAGGUUCCAAGCAAUUGUUGACUUACAUUCUAACCACAUGGCCAGUCAAAGAAGACAAUAAAAGAAGAAGGAAUGAUGGUAUGGGCGGUCACAUGUAAAACAAUAAGGAAAAAUAAAUAAUAAUAAUAAUAUUAAUAAUAAAAAAAGAAAGACCAACAUGGGCAGCCGUCCAUGAGGUUAAUUAAAGAGUCAAUGAAUAAUUUUUUUUUUUAUGGUGGUAGGGGCUGGCCAAAUUGGUAAGUAAAAUGAGGUAAGGAUGAAAGAGAGAAGUCGGUUGAAAGAAAGAAAGGGGAAAGUUGAAGAAUAAAGGAAAGAAAAAGAAAAGAAAAGUCGAGUGGUGAGGAAAAGAAAAGAAAGAAAAGGAAGGGAGAAGGAGCUGAGUUUGAGGGGGAUGAUUUUGCUACCAUUUAAGAAGGAAAGGAGAGAUUUUUUUUUGCCAUUUUAAGGGAAAGAAAAGGCUAAUUUUUUAAGGCUAAAAGGAGCAGCUUUGGCUGCUGAUUUUUGAGGUUUUGGUUGCCGGUUUUGAGGGUGAGAUGAACAGCUUUGGCUACUAAUUUUUAAAGGUUGAAAGGAGCAGCUUUGGCUAUUGAUUUUUGAGGUUUUGGUUGUCGAUUUUUAGGGUGAAAUGAGCAACUUUGGCAGCUGAUUUUUGGGGCUAAAAUGAGCAACUUUGGUUAUUUAUUUUUGAGGUUGAAAUGAGCAGAAAUUUGCUACCGAUAGUAAGAGAAAGAGAGAGAAGGAAAUGGUGGCCGGCUUGUGAGUGUAAGGAAGGAAAAGAAAAAGAAGAAAAAAAAUAGAAAGAGCCCAUGAGAGAAGGCCCAAUGGCAACAAGGAAGGAUAGGCCCAAAAGAGAAAAAGGUGGAGACUUGGGCUUAAGCCAACCUAGCCCAAAUAGGUAAAAAAGAAAAUUUCCUUGCUUUUUAUUGGGCUUGUUAUGAAGUUGGAUUAAUUAUGGCUAGCCCACUUGUUUAGUUAAAUUCUCAUUAUUAGUGAUAUGAAUUAAAUUAAAAUCUUUAAUAUAAUAUUUAAAAAAAUUCUUUUAUGAUGUCUCAUAGAACUAAAGCAAAGAAGAAAAUAUGAAAUUGAUGAAUAGUGCUCAAGUGUAGUUAAGGAAUUUUGAAAUGAUUCUGUGUGAAGAAUUAUUGUUGUCGGAGCAAUUUAUUUGCAUAAGUUAGUUAAAACUGUUAAGUUGAAUGAUAUAUUAUUUGGAAGAAAUAAGGAGGAAUAAUAUGGAUUGAAAUUGGAAAGUAAUUGGGUAGAUUUGGAAUGACUGUGGUUACCGUAAAUAUAGUUAAUGUUGUGGAAAUAUAAGAUGGAUUUGGGCGAAAGUUAUUUAGAAAGGUUGAAGUAGGCAUGUGACAUCAUAAAUAAGUUACCGGUGUUAUAAUCUAAGGAAUUACGUAAGCAACGGAUAUAAGUAAUUUUAGUAAAAAUGCAUUAAGAUGUUAGUUAAUUGAAUAUGGUUUCAUGAUAGGAUGAGAAAUAGAAGUGGGAUUGAUGCACUAAAUAUAUUGAGUUUGGAUUGUUGCUAGGACGUGCUAAAGUAAAGAUAGUGCACUAUAGUGGCGUGCCAGAGGAAAUAACGAGCAAUCGACCAGUAAAAAUUGUUAGAGACAACUCCGAACAAAUAACGACUUAAUAUCUCGUUGUUGCCGAGUGAGUGAACUUGCAUUAAAAUUUUUUGGGAUAUACACAUUUAUGUUUGAUUGAAUCCCCCUAAAACGUUUUAUUGGUUUUUCUUCAAAAACUCGCACGAAAAUAAGCCCUUAUGAAAUGUUUUUAUGUUAUGAAAUGGAUUGUGUGAUGAAUCCAUGUGUUUCUGUAUAAUAUUGAUAUAUAUAUAUAUAUACUAUGUCAUAAAUGGUACAUUGUGUGACAAAAUGCAACCGUGCAUGUGCUGGGUGUGCACCUACCGGUGAUGAUGGUGGUGAGGGAUAUGGAUGGUGAUAUUGCCCUUGUGCACGAUGUGGGGGGAUGCACACGAUGGCAUUAGUUGUGCACUAUGUGGAGGAUGCACACGAUGAUGAUAUCGCUUGUGCACGAUGUGGGGGGAUGCAUAAAGCGAUGAUAUUGCUUGUGCAUGAUGUUGAGGGAUGCACACGAUGACUCCAGCUAUGUGCAUCAUGUGGGCAGAUGCACAUGAGCUAGGUGAGAUGGGGUGUCCAGCUAUGUGCACGAUGUGGGGGAAUGCACAUGAGCUGGGUGAGACGGGGUGUCCGACUAUGUGCACAAUAUGGGGGGAUGCACAUGAGCUGGGUGAGAUGGGGGUGUAUGUGCUUAUAUACAUACAUAUUUACUAUAUAAAGAUGUUUGGAUUUAAUAUGUGAUUGCAUUGACUGUUGAAAACUUGAGUAUUGUCAAUGUGUUCAAUUUAAUGUGCAAUGUGGCAUGAGUGGAUUUUUCUGGUGGCAGUGAAAGCCCCUUGGAUUUCAUUUGGCCAGAAUUUCAUUACAGCGAGAAUGCCUUUUCGUUGCGGUGAGAGUCAAUCUAUUAUGCUUGACUUGCUUGAAUUCUACUAAAGUUUUCAGUUCUCAACUUCUUUGUUGUUCAUGAGUCUUUCAUCAUUAAGUGGCUAAACGACCAAGGGUUUGAAUGAGGGGUUUUUAAAUAGAAAUAAACUAACUUGCAUUGUUUUGAACUUAAGUGCAUCAUGAUUUCUAAACCUUCCUUAACGUUGCUUGUUCCCUUCCUAUGUUCACUCACUGAGUUUAUGCUCACUUUUUAAACAUCAUCUUUUAGGUUGUCAGAGUCAAAGAUGAUUGGUUCCUAGGAUGAGGUGUUCCUCCAUAUCCAUUGCCCGGUAGGUUUACCAUGACAUUAAAUAUUAACAAUCGUGCCCAGAGUCACUCCCCUGACGGUCAAGUUCUGAUUAAGUAUAUAUGAAUACUUCUUAUGAAAUGUUAAGAUUCAUUUGUUGAAAUAUAUAUAUAUAUAUAUGUGUAUAUUAUGGUUGAUGAUGCUAUUUUGAAUACAUAGUGGGAUUUAUUAAUUUUUCCAAAGAAACUAUAUUGAACGCUACUGAUUCAAAUUUUUAAGGAAUACAGAUUAAUGUAUAAAAUUCUAUAAAUAGGCUUGCGUGGGCUUAGUGGGUUGAGUCCAUUGGGCCUUUGCGCCAGUCAUGGCCCAAAAAUUGGGCUGUGACAAAAUGAUUUCAUCAAUAUGGGCCUAGAGGAGAAAAUUAUUGGCCUUGCGUGGGCUUACAUUGCUAUAUAGCUUGAACAAGUUUAUCACAUGUUGAAAAUGCUAUUACGACUUGUUCUUGAUAAAAAUGAAUGCAUGAGUCAAUUCUUGAAUUUAUUGAUCUUAUUAUUGCUCAUGUACUUGCAUAGAAGACAUUAUUUCUUGAGAAUGAAAUGUUCAUUGGAUCAUAUUGACUAAAUCAUUUCUUGAGGAAUUGAAAUGUUAAAAUGAUUGGUUUAAAAUCAUAUGUUGGAAUAUGCUUUAUGAUUGUGCUCAAUUGAUUGUUUCAAAAUUGAUUCCUUGAUUAUGCAUAUAAAAUUGGUUAUGAUGAACACAUUGAACUUCAUAAGAAAUAUUUUUAGUUCAUCUAUCUUUUUGGUUAGGUCACAUGCUUACAUUUUAUUUCAUUUUGCUUGCCUUUAAGAUUUAAAGUCUAUAACUUGACUUGAGUUAUACUUUUGAAUGAGAAAUUUAAAUUGUCAAGUUAGAUCAUGAUAUAUAUUGUGUUGGCAUAGUUGAAGUAUCUUUUGAAUGUGCUUUUGAUUGUUAACUACAUCCUCCAUGAGCUAAAUGAUUACAUGAUCUAAAGAUCAUGUGUGCAUCCAACUUUAGCCUAUAGGUUACCAUAAAUGACUUGAAGUUUAAAAUGAAAAAUUGCCUAUAGUUUAAGUUAAGGUUUGAAAGCAUAAUGAAUCUUGAUUAAAUCUUUAUUUAUUGUAUUCAUUAAGGCUUGGAUGCUCAUUUUAAAGAUAUAUUUAUGAGUUGAGUGAUUUAUUUCCAAUAUUUCAUAACAAUUGGUAUCACUCAUGAAUCAUGGAUCAUUGAUGAAUAGCAUGUAUUUUGAACUUCAAUGAUUGCAUAUUUGUUGGGUAUAUGUCUAUAUAUUUUUAAGAAGAGAAAAAUAUUCUUGCAUUUCAUAAAAAAAUUAGAAUCAUAAUUAGUCAAGAUAGCUAAGAUCUUUCUUGCACUCAUGCUUGUGCUUAUUGAUUAUGAGAUUUCUUUAUGUGACUGCUAUAUGUGAUAAAAGCCUUGACAAUGCGUCAUUAAUAAUGACAUUGUCUUGAUAAGAAUUCUUGUCCUUCAAUUAAUAGUCUUAUAUGUAUUUUGGAAAAAAAAUUUCAAUUACUUGUGUGAAAAUAUUAUGGAAAAGAGAUUACCAAAAAGGGCUAAAUGAUGAUAUUUUCCUAAUGACAUGCCAUUGUUGCGGAAAUUCUCUUUUAAAUUAUUAUUCUUAUAUAUUUUAGAAAAUUUCCUUAAAAUGGUUGAUUGAUAGUGCUUAGGCAAUGCAUGAUUAAAAAAGGUGCUUAAUGAAACUUGGACAUGCAUUGGAGCUAAUGUGCAUAUACUUCUUAAAAUUAUGAGUAUUUGAAGCAUAUAUUGAAUAUUUAUUUAAACACUCAUGCCUUAAUAGUUUAUCGAAUAUAUGAGUAUGAGAUUGAUAUGUUGUGUCACGACCCAAAUUCCGAGCCAUGACCAACGCAUGGGCCCAAUGGACGUAGUCCACUAAGCCCAAGCAAGCCUAUUAAUCCGACGUGUUCAUCAUUCCAUCAUAAACUACUAAGUCAUUUUUCAAAACUUAGAAUCAAAUUUUUUUUUUUAAACAGUGCCAUCUCAUAUGGGCAUACUAAACAAGUGUAUAUACAUUUGUUUACAACUUGUAUCUUAAUAAUUACAUUAGGUUCGUCUAUACACAACAAAAUAAUACUCGACUUCCAGCGAAAGGACUCGGAUGAAUGUAUAGCUACUGAAUGUCGAGACACCUACCAAAAGAUGGACACAGGUCUAUAAGGACACCUCGUCCUAGUUACCGGCUGCCUCGUGAUCUGAAAACAUGAAUUUGAAAAUGGUGAGUAUAAACCCAAUGAGUGAACAAGGAAGGGAACAAGCAUACCAUAUGGAAUCUUUAAUGAAAUCAUGAUGCAUUCUUUUUCAAAACAAUGCAAUUUGUUUCUAUUCUUAUUAAAAACCCCUCAUCAAGCCCUUAAAUAACUAAUCAAUUGUAAUAAUGAAUCCAUACAUAUCAAAUAAUUUGAAAAAUAAAAACUUCAAUAUUACACAAGCAAGUCAAAUACGACAACGAAUCUUCGUUGCAGCGGAAAGGCAUUCUCGCUACAACAAUGUUGGGAUUUAGUUAUUAACCGAACGAGGGUUUCUCAACUGGCCGAGGAUUUCUCACUAAACCUCCUCAUUUUAAACUUAACUCAUUUAAUCCUUAAUGUUGGAAGUCCAUGCUCUGAUAUGGUAGUAAAGAAGUGAAAGAUAGGACAACAAUUGAACAAGAUAGGAGAUCAAAAUAGAAAGUUUUUCGCUGCAGCAAGAUUCUUUCUCGCUGCGACGAAAUUGUAACCCAGAAACAGAAGGUUUCUCGCUGCAGCGAAAUUCAAUAUCGCUGCAGCGAAAUUCAAUCUCGCUGCAGCGAAAUCGCAACCCAAAAACAGAAAGUUUCUCGCUGCAACGAGAAUGUAUUUCGCUGCAGCGAGAAGCUACAGUGCCAUUCUCGCUGCAGCGAAAAUGCAUCCUCGCUGCAGGGAGUUUUCGACCAGCCUACCCUUUCAAAACUCGAGAGUUUCUUGCUGCAGCGAAAUACAGGGCAUCUAAUGAAAAUUUCCCUUUCUCCCAAAGAAAGCCACCCUACUUGAAAUGUUCAAAACCAAUAUGAAACACAAAACAAUUUCUCAAGGCUUAACAUGUCAAGUUUCACAUGUAUUACAACCAUAAACCAUUAUCCAUCAAUUUCCUAUAACACACAUAUUUACAUAUGUAUAUAUAUAUAUACGCAUAUACCCAUCAUCAUCAUCACACCAUCCCAUCAUCAUCAUCACUAGCUCACGCGCACUCCCUACUCGCACAUGGCUGGGUCAUCUCCGGGUUAUGCGCACUCUCUAUUCGCACAUAACAGGGUCAUCCUCGGCCUAUGCGCACUCCUUACUCGCACAUAGCCGAGUCAAUAUAAUUACACAACAUUAUAUUCAAGCAUAUAUGUAUAUCAACAUAAUGCAGCCACAUAGAAAUCCAUAAUAACCACAUAUCAUAACNAAUCAUUUCUCAAGAGCUUAUUCCCAAGGCAUUCAUUUUCAUGAAAAAUCGUAUAAAAUCAUUCAAACGUUUGUCAAAUACAUUAUAUUCCCAAAAUAAGUUUUGAAGGCAGUCCAUUCACCAAUUGAUUGUAAAGCCUUUAGAUGACUCCAAUUCCCCUAAUUGUCCAAAUGAGAUAAUGGGGCUUCCUUAAAACCUAGGAUCACAUUAACAUAAACAAUGGAUCAAUUUACUCACUAUGAACUCUAAAAGCUAUCUCUUGGCUAGUUUUCAAUUGCUACAUUAAACGGCUAUCUAUGUUUACUAUCUUAAUCACUAAAAAGUAAUGAACAUAGUCAACAAGAAAACAACUCAUAAAUCCCAAUUACUAGCCAUUUUCUGUAGUUAAAAAUUGAGCUUAGUUCAUUACUUACCCUAGGGCUCCUUUGUAGUCAAAUUUUCUUCCAAUUGCUUCCAAAUCAAUGGAGUAAUUCUCUCUUUCUCUCUCUAAAAUGCCCAACUAGUGAGAGAAAGUUUGGAAAUAAGCUUUAUCAAGGGUUUUGAAGUGAGAGGAUGAAAGCAUUCAAAGGUUUUAGUCAAAAAGGUUCAAAGGUGUGAAAACUAGAGCUAGAGAGAGAAAAUCAUUCAAGCUUCAAAUCAAGCUUCCAUGGAGUUUUGAAGAAACAUGAGAGAGGACAAGAAGAAGAAGACCAGCUGUUGGAAAUUCAAGAAGGCGCUGGAAAUUUUAAGAUAUUUAUAGGCGAAACUUAUCCAUUCCCAUAAAAUUACGAAAAUGCCCUUCCACCAAUUUACUUAUUCUCCUCCAAUCUUUUAUGCAAUCUUUUUGUUCUUUUGACACUGGGACAAGGUCCAUAAUGGUCUAGACAUACUCGGGUUCACGAAAACAUAAAAUUGUAACCUGAGGUGAAAAAUGACCAUUUUGCCCAUACCUUGAAAAUUAUCAAAAUUUUAGUUUCCUUUCCAUUUUACCCCUAAUUUCACCAUCCAUUUAUGCCUUAAGCCUACUUAGGCCAUAAUAUUAUUUAAAACUUACUUUAGGAGCUUAUUAGAGAAGUGACGAAACUACCAUUGGCUCGUAUUAUUACAUUUAUGCUUAGUUACAAGCCUAUAGAGGUUGGGGUCUCACAUGUUGAACAUUCUAUUUAAAUGCUCAUUUAUAAUAUGAUCAUUGCUUAUCCCCAUAUUUACCUCAUGAUCCUUUUAAGGGAAGGUAAAAUUAUGCUUUAAUGUGAUUAACCAUUUAAUCCCUUCUUCUUUUUUGAAUUGAUCUAAUGAAUGAUUAAGAGGGAGUUGAUCAUUGACAUUGUCUUAUGAUCCUCAAGCACUUGAAAUCUCACCAAGUGGUGUUCAUCACUAUUGGUAACAUCUCUUAAACACCAUAGUAACCUUGUGCUUAAUAAUGUCUUAUAUUUAUUCUUAAAUGAUGAUAGCCAUACUCCUUACUAUACUUAGUUAUGUAUAAAUUUGUGAAUACAUCUGCAAAAUUGAUUGUGCCUUUAAUUUGCUUACUUGUUAAAAACUUGCUUUCUCUUGUUAGUUGAUUAUUUAUUUGAAUGAAUAUGUUAACAUAUUAGUUGCACAACUAUUAGAAAAUCAUGUUCACGUUAUAUGAAGACUCAUGAAUGUUUCAUGCUUAACUAUGCAUAUCCAACUAACACUUUGCUUAUAAAUGUAUAUCUAUAUGUGGCAUUAUUGAUGAUGACAUGCAUUAUGCCUUGAUUGCAAUAGUUAUUAUAUUUUUUCAUGCUUUAAUUGAAGAUUUUGAGUAUAAAUAUAUUAUGACUUGCUCAUACAUCUUGCUCCUUGGAUAUGCUACAUGAAUAUAUUUCCCUUAUGCUUUGAGUGAAUACAUAUUGAUUGGGAAUAUAUCUUGACUUAAUUCUGUCUAACUAUGACAAUAGAUAUAUUUCUUAAUCUUUACUUGAAUAUUUUUGCUAGGAAAUAUAUCUCACUGUUUUGAUUUGAUGGUUAGAGAUUAGUGUUGGACUGAAUGCUUAUUUUCACUUGAUGAUUAUCACUAACCAUUGUUUCUUGAGUUUAAGUGUUUAAGGCUUACACCUCUAUUCCCUUUUGGUUAAAUUUUUCUUUGAAACAUUUUUUAACUUCAUGCAUAAAUUAAAGGGGAGACUUUUGAAAGUUCAUAGUCAUUUCUUAUAUUAUUUUGUUAGAAAGAUAAGCUUAAAGUAAACUAACCAAAAGGGGGGAGGUGAAUUGGUUAUGAAUUAAAAAUUCCCCAUAUCUAAAAGAACUUGGAAAAUGUAGCAGAUAUAUAGUAAAAACAAAGUAUGAACUAAGCAAGUAAAAUGAAAAAAGUUAAAAUGUAUUCAGCUAGAUUUUUAUAAAGGUUCAGCCUUCCAAUGCCUAUGACUUCUCCCUUGAUAGCACAAGGAGUUUGAAUCUACCAUUAAUAUUGCCUUUUCAAUGACGUCAAAUGUAACCUUUGCAACAUGCCUUUAAAUAAGAUCAAUGUAACCUUCAUAACAUGCCUUUUCACAAGAUCAAGCGUAACCUUAACCAAAAUACUAUGUUCUUAGGUUGAAGCACAACCUUUACACAAUACACAGCCUUUUCAAGGAUUAUACAGAAUCCUUUUACCUUUUGGUUAGAGGUGUAACCAAUACAAUGUGGAUUCUCAAAGACAUACAAACUUAAAACCUCUAUGAAGGUUGAUGUGAUGUUUAGGUUUAGAAAGAUGAGAGCUUUCUCAAGAGAAAUGAAUGACAAAAGGAAGUUUAAGCUCAAGGAAUAUUAGCUAAAUGACAAAGAUAUGUUUUUUUUUUUGUUCUGCUCUUACUCAUAGAUAGUAUUUUUUUACUUUUUUUCUCUUUUGAAUGUUUUCCCCUUUUUGGCUCUUCAAAAUCUUUUCAAAAUUGUUCAAGAUCAUACUUUUAACAUCUUCAAAGUGGAUAUUUAUAAGCCUUGUGAUUUCUUUUUCAUUGGAGUCAAAUUUGAAUAAACUUUUAUACAUUUUAACUAGCUUGCACAUUUCAUCGCACAUGGAGAACGGAUUCUUUCAUCAUGAGUUGUCGGUUCUUCAUAAAGUCUGGAACUUUUUAUCAUUAAAGAAUCAAUUCUUCUUUUCUGAAAUGUUGGUUCUUCAUAAAGUCUGGAACUUUUUGUUUCUAGGGAAUCCAUUUUUCUUUCCUAAGAUGUUAGUUCUUCCUCAACUUAGGUCAAAGCUGACACCUUUGCAUUUUUGGAGAAUCUGUGAUACCCUAAAUUUUAAUAUGCGUGUAAAAUAGCAUGAUAGUGGUGACGUGGACCAAGGGUAGUUUCAUUUUCUUCUUGGUGAGUCUUAGCAAAUAUUUUACAUCUGGGAUUCAAUAAAUUAUUUUUAUAUAUAAAAAAAGAGAGAUUUUCACCUUAGGGCUAAAAUGGUAAUUUUACAUCUUGAAUCUAAAUUUUUAAGUUCUCAUAAACUCAAGUACCUCUAAUCUAUUCUGGACCUUUUCUCAAUGUCACAAGAGUAAAAAGAUUGCACAAAAAAAGAAAAAAAAAAGACAAAGUAAACUUGGUAAUGGCAUUUUCAUAAAUAAUUGAAACUUUUGUUAAUUCUAGGUAUAAUUAUCUCAAUUUCCAGCACCUUUUAGCAUUUUCUCCUUCUUCCCCCCAUUUCAAACUUUCCAUCUUCCAUAGAGGCCAUCCUGGAAACUCCAUAACUUUCUCAUAUUAACUCCAAAUUUCAUGUUUUUGUACACGCUUUCAUAGGAUUUUUUGUUCUCUUUCACUUUUUCACCUAAAAAACCCUCAAAAAGCUUUUCCUAUGCACUUUCUCUCACUAGUUGAACAUUUUUAGAGAGAAAAACUCUUCAAAAUAGCUUGAAAACUCUUAAAGGAAUUUUCCCCUUUUUAAUCCUCAUUAAGAAAAUUCAACUGCAAGUCCACAAAGGUGAGUAAUGGGUUAGGGUUGAUUUUUAAGUUUGUUAAUGAUGGUUAAUAAUUAGAUUUGUGGGUUGUUUUAUUGUUGAUGGAUUAUAUUGUUGUGAAAAAGUGAGUAUUUAUUACUAGUGUGACUGAAGUGGUGAAAAUAAAUGACUAUCUAGUGACUAGAAUGUUGGCUUUGUUAUUUACAAGUAAAUUGAUAUUGGAAACAUGAAUUAGGGGCUGUUUUAAUGGGUUGAGAUUGUUGAAGGGAGAAAUGAUUGAUAAUUAUGGUAAUUCAUGGUUCAACUAGUGGUGUGGGUGACUAAAUUAGUAAAGUGCAUUGUGUUGGUGUAAGAUGUCAAUAAGGGAAUUAAUUAAGUGUGGAGUUAUGAAUUAUAAAGAUGAUAUAGUGCUGGAAAAUGGAAGUAAUAAAUGGAGUGUUAUGAAAAUGGUGGAGUUAGUAUUAGGUUGAGUAGUCAAGUGGUAAUUGAAAACUAGUUGUGUGUGAUAGUUUCCAACGAGAUCCCACGUUUCCACUUGGAGCACUAGUCGAGGUUUGGAUUUGAUCAAAAAAAAAUGGGUGAGUGAACUUGCAUUUAAAAUGUAAAGCCUGACCUUAUAAAAUACUUGUCAUGACAUACAUGUGAUGGAUAACAUGUUUGAAUGCUAGGAGAGUCCCGAAAAAAUUUACAAAAGUCAGUAUUGUACCUAGAGGAACAACAAAGUUGAUUUAAGCCUCGACCUAGAUCAAAUAGAGAUUUUAGGGUGAAAUUGAAAAUUUUACAGUCAGUGAAUGACUUAAAAUGGUGAUUCGGAGUUUGAAGAUUAAUUUGGAGUCAAAUCAGAAUUUUCACAAUCUAGGGGAAAAAUAGUAAUUUUGCCAUUUGAGGAUAAAAUUGGAAUAUUGGAAGAAGUUUUUGAUCAAGAUUGAUCACAUUUGACUCAUUGGAGUAUAAUUUGAGGUUGAUAAGUGAAAAAAAUUGUAAUCUCGGUACUUUUCAGAGCAUAGGGGUAAAAUUAUAAUUUUUCACACCCGACACUUGUCCAGCACAUGGAUUUUAUCCAAUAUUAUCAUGGAUAUUUGAAGAAAAUUUACAUGGAGGAGAGAGAAAGGUUAAUAGUUAAGAAAUUAAAAACGGGCCAAUGACAUGAUGCCAUGUGUCAUGUCUUUAUUAAUUUAUUAUUUUUCCUUUUUAAAAGGCACAAAAACCAGCCCAUCUUCCACCCCAUGGUGGGCCAAACCAGCAGGAAGAGAGAGAAAAGAAAAACCAAACUCUAGAGAGAGAAAAUCAAAGAAAAAGUGUGAAUUUUCAAGGAAAUUAAGUGAAAAAGAUAAGAUUUUUUCUAUUAAGCUUGAGUUUUCUUAUUCCCAAGCAUUUCUCCUUAUUUUCCAUGAUUAAAUUGCUUGUUUUCAUGGCUGGUCAUAUGGGUCUAGAGAGAGAAAAUUGUUGGAUUGAUUUGAUUUUGAUAUAUGUUGGUGUUUAGUGUUAGUUUAGCAUGUUAGUAAACAAAAUAUGUGGAAAAACAUUCAUUUUUCCCGUUACCUAGCCUUAGCUGAAUUUUCAAGUCAAUGGUGAGGAAGAAUGUGAUGUUAUUUUAGGUUAUUUGAUUAUGAAAUCAUGGUUUUUGAUAUAGAAAUUAAUGAAUUAUGGAAAGAAAAUGAAGUAGGAAAAAUUGUGACUAUGAUGCACCAUUUUGGCCGAAUUUUUCCAAGAAGGAAUAUGAAUGUGGCUUUGCUGAUUUUUGGGUUAUUUGGCUAGACAUUGGUGAUUUGAAGUAUUAGAAAAAGAAAUGGGAUCAAUUGGAGCUAAAUUGGAUGCGUAUUUCAAUUUAUCGAGUAAAAGACCGAAAUAGGUCAAUACGGUGUUUAGGCAAAAUUUAGACCUUUUGCAUUCCAUAUCAUGCAUUAGUAGUCUAAAUUAGUUUAAUUUCAAUUUAGUACUAAUGUGGUGAAUUUCUCGAUUUUGUACUGUGUCAAAGUGGUGAGUCCUCCGAUGAAGGCAAGGAAAUUGCAUCCGAGGACCAGUAGUUUGAGUAUUUUAAAAAUUCCAAGUCUAGCAUUGUAAGUAACCUUACCAUAAUUUUAAUGAUCUAAAGUAUGUUUUUAUUCAGUUUUGGUGAAUUUUAUGAAAAUGAGUUAAAAUGGUAAAUUUUUAUGUUUUGUAAACGAAAUGUGUUUAAAUGAAAAGACUUUAUAAAUUGUCUUGAAAUGAAAUAACGAUUUAGAAAAUAGAGUAAUUGGAGACCACUGCCAUGUUGCAAAUUUAUGAUUGGAAAUUGAUGGCUUAUGUUAUAUUGUUAUUGUGUUGGCAUGACUGGUUGGGCUGUGUUUUAUGAAUUGUAUGAAUUAUUUUAUUAUAUCCUUGCAAGUUGGGUAGUAUUAUAUUAGCCCUGUCAUGCUGUUAAAAUUUUAUUGUAUAGUGGGUUUAGCUUGCUACAGUAGGCGGGUUCUGUGGACCAGCCUAUUAGAGGGGCAUAGAAUCCGAAUAUAUAUAUGUACCUCGGUUAGAGGCACGUAGGGUAUCUCCUGAGGUAUGGUUAGAGUUCACAUUACGCCGAACCACCUCGUGACGAUGAACUCCAUUUACGCCAAGGAACGACUGUGUUCUUUUUUUUAAACUAAAAAUAUAUUUACGUGUAUACGAACUUUUUAAUAGCCUUGGCAGACUCGGUUAGAUGUCUCGGCCAAGGUAUCCCCGAUAAUGAUUUUAGCAAGAGCCAAGCUUUUAAAAUACUCAUAAGCCAUGUUGAAUAUUUAAAUGAAAUGAAUAUUUAUGUUAUGAAAUACAUAUGGAGAUGAAAUAUUUUAAUUGUCUCCUUUUACUUGAACUUUAGAUCUUUUGAAUGAUGUUUGUUUACUCACUAGGAUUAUAAAAUCUCACCACUCUCCUUUCCCUCCAUUUCAGGCUCAGAUUAGACUGUAGAUAGCUUAUCUCAUUGAGGACUACCGUUGGGUUUGCAUUCUUUAAACUGUAGGUUAUAAUCCUCUUUACUUUUGUUUAUUCGGGGGCCCACUUAUUAUUUUAAAUUAAAUUAAAUACUUUGGCUUACUGUAUUACAGUAUCUAUGAAUUUAUUUAUCUUUUAUGCUACAAAAAUUAUUUAUGUAUAACUCUAAAAUUUUAUUUUAAAAUAAAAUAGAAUAUUUUACUUAAUAUUUCUUUAUUUUCUUAUUAUACCCAAAUAAUCAAAAUUUCAUUUUAAAUGAAGAUUUUAGACUUUAAAACUCACUUUGGAUUAUGAAUUAUAUGUUUUGUACUCGUAUAUUACAUUUUAGCUGGCUUCAAAAUUUUUGGGGAAAAAUAACUAAAAUACCCCUAUGAGAUGAAAAUUAUUAUUUGAUUUGUUUUGAGUUGGAAACAGUUUAAAAUCUUUUAUAACAUGAUUUUCGACAACGAUUACUCACGGGGGAAAUAAGAUACCUAUAUUAGGCCUUGCGGGGUCCUGGUUGGCAUUUCGAGAAAUGAAUGUCUAUCGAGGUACCGCGACGGUUGUCACGGGCUCGAGGGGAGUACCGGGUCGUGACAAUUCGAUUGGUAUCAGAGUAUUUGGUUUUGAAGAUAAGGGUUUUUAGUUUAAAGUGGUUUUAAAAAUUUACAGUAUCAGUGUGGGCCCGGGUUAAGAUGGGUUAGGCUGAAUAGGAUGCAUGCAUCUGUAUAUAGAGCCUAAGGUUCCCUAAACUUGCUCGUUUUCUCUUAUAGAUUAUUAUGCCUCCUCGACGCAGACGCCCACCUCUCAUUAGAUCUGCUGGGAGGGGAAGAGGUCGUUCCAAUGUCGUCAGCUAGGUGCAGUAGAGGAGGAAUCGGCUGUAUCCACUAUACAGGCAACACUUGCUGCUGAGCGGGCAGAGACUCCUCCAUAUCCUCCACAUCCUCCGCCACCUACUGGUAUUCCUGUCAUGUCUCCUGAGGCAGUCUAGGCAUUGGUAGCCUUCUUUACUACUAUUGCUGGCUAGGCUCAGGCUGGUCAGGCUCCUCUUAUAGUGCCACCAGUUGUUCCUGUAGUACCACCACCCCCACCUCCAAUUCCACCGCCAGAAUAGGAUGUACCUAUUUCUAAGAAGUUGAAAGAGGCUAGACAGCUUGGUUGUGUUUCUUUUACGGGUGAGUUAGACCCAACCGUAGCCAAGAAUUAGAUUAAUUAGGUCUUAGAGACAUUCUCUAAUAUGAGAUUAGAUGACGAUAUGAAGCUAAUGGUGGCUACGAGAUUGCUAGAGAAGAGGACUCGUACCUGGUGGAAUUUAGUGAAGUCCUGAUCUACUACUCCUCAGACUUGGUCUGUGUAAAAGUCGACCUUAUAAAAAUAUGUCAUGACAUACAUGCACGGAGUAGCAUGUUAUUACGCUAGGAAAACUCCUAAGAAUAGACAAAACUCGGUAUUGUACCUAACGGUACACUUGAGUUGAUUUAACCUCGAACUAGUUCAAAUAGGAAUCGUAUGAUGAAAUUUAAUAUUUUACAGUCCAGGAAUGACUAAAAAUUAUUGUUCGAAAUUCGAGGGUUCAUUUAGAGAAAAAUUGAAAAUUUUGAUGUUUAGGGGCAAAAUCGUCAUUUUGCCACCUAAGAUAAUAAUUUGAUCAUGGAGUGAAAAUUUUGACCAAGAUUAACUAUUUGGAGUAUAAUUUAAUGAUAGGAAGUGAAAAUUUUCAGUUUCGGCAAUUUUCUGAACAUAGAGGCAAAACGGUAAUUUUGUCACCCCGAGGUAAAACCGUAAUUUUCACCACCCAAAACUUGUCAAAAUCAUAGAAUUUAUUUAUUUUUGGUAUGAAUAACUAUGGUAUUUUAAGUGGUGAAAAAUUGAAGUUUAAAGGACGAAAUUUAAAAAACGGGCCAAUGGAAAAGUGACAUAUGGCACUUUUUAAUGAUUUAAUAUUAUUUUAAAGGAAAAUCGGCCGAUUUAAACCCCACAUCAGGUGAUGGUCGGUCAUAAGGAGAAAAUAAGAGAGAAAAUAGAAAGGAAAGGAAGAAAAGAGUAAAACCAAAGGAAAACUAGAAAAUUCAAAGGGAAAUUCGUGUUUUUCGUUCGUUUACGCGUCUAAUGGUAAGAUUUUUCGACUUUAGCUUGAUUUCUAACUUUCCUAUGCCUUUGUUUCCAUUUAGCAUGCUUGAGGAGAGAGAUUAAAAAGUGAUACCAAGGGCUGGCCAAAUUUCAAGUGGAAGGAUUUUGAAAUUUUUAUGUUUUGAUUCUUAGUUAAAUUGGUAGUUUUAGUUAGUUAAAUGUGUAUAGAAAUCAAAUUGGGCAAGAAAGUAUGAAGUUCUCACAAUACCCACCCUUGGCCGAAUAUUCAAUGAUGUACAAUGAUGAUGAACUGAUUUUUAUUCUAAGAGAAAUAAAGAGAAAAUGAUGAAAAAUGGUUAAAUGUGAUAGAAAAACAAAGUGAAAAAUUAAUUGAGUAAAUAUCCCAUUUUUGACUGAAUUUUCCAAUGAGGAAAGUGAAUUGAUUUUGGUGAUUUUAGAGGGUUAUUGGCUGAUAUUUAAUGGUUAGAAAUGUUGGAGAGAAAAUGGGACAAUUUAGAGCUAAAAUGGAGAGCGUUAGCAAUUUAUUGGGUAAAAUGCCAAAAAUAGGUUAAUACUGCAUUUAAGCCGUUUUAGGUUAUUGCAUUUCAUACCAUGCAUUAGUAUAGGAUUUAAGUCAAUUAUAUAGUGAUUUAGCAUCAAUGUGGUGAAUGGUGUAAUUUUUGCAAUGUGUAUAGAAGGAGAGCCUUCCGGUAAAGGCAAGGAAGUCGUACCCGAUGAACAGUGAUCGGGGCACCUAGAAAGCAAUUAAUUUGUAAAAACGGUGAGUAAACCUAGUAUUAUUGUAAAUUAUCUAGAGUUUAUUUUCAAAUGCUCUUCAUGUAUUUUAUGAAACGAAAAUAAGAUUAAAAUGGGACUUUUGAUGUUUUAGAAAUAAAUGUGAUAAAUAAAUAAAUUGUGUUGAUUAUUUGAAGUAAGAAACUUUGAUCAUGAAAUUGAGUAAUUGGAGGCUGCUAAUUGUCUUGAAAAAUAUAUUUUUCUAUGAAUGGCUUAUGAUAUAUGAGUAUAUGUGGCUAUAUUUUAUAAUUGCAUUGGGAAUUUAUGUAAGCUAUCUUUUACUAUGCAGGCUGGGUAAAUAAAUAAAAGCCACGUUAUAUUGUCGAAAUUUUAUUGAAAUUGGUGGGUUUAGUCACUGCAGUGAUGGGUUUCCAUGGACUACCUAUUAGAAGGGCACCGUAAACCCAGUUAUAUAGUUACUCCGGAUGUAGAGGCGAGGAGGGUAACUCCCGGGGCAGUGUUAGAGCUCACUUCACGUCGAACCCCCACGUGAAUGUGUAACUCGGCGAACGCCAAGGAACGGCUUGUUUUCAAAACUAACAUGUGUUUAACAUGUAAAUAUCUUAACAACCUUGGCGGACUCGGUUAGAUGCCUCAGCCAAGGUAUCCCCGAGGACUAGUUUUUGGCUUGAACCCUGUUUCUAAUAAAAGUCAUAAGCCUUAACAACUGUUUUGGUAAAUUACAAAUAUUUUAUGGUUUAAGAAAUAAAUUGAAAACCUUAUGAAACCGUUUGUGAUUUGUUGUUUCAACUUGCCUCCAUUUUACUCGCCUUUAGAUAUUUAUGAUAAUGUCUGUUUACUCAUUGGGAUUGCAAAAUCUCACCCACCUCCUUUCCAAAUAUUUUAGGCCUGUGGUAGCUUGUAGAUACCCGAUUUUGUCGAGGAUUCUAGUUGACCCCUCUAUCUCACAGACAGUAGGUUACUAUCACCAACACUUGGUGUAUUUACGGGCCACUUGUCAUUGUAAUUAUUAUUGUACAUUAUAACUUUGUAAAUUAUUGUAUGUAUGAAUUUAUUUUACUUCCACGUUACAAAGGAUUACUUACACGUGUUUCUAUAAAUAUUGUUUUAUAUAAAAAUAUUAUAUUUUAAUCAAUAUUUUGAAUAGCAAUAUUUAUCAAUAAAUUUUCUUUUUAAAAAUAAAAUAAUUUUUAUCUUUUGAUUUACUUGAGCCGGAAAAGACUGGUAAUUGUUUAAAACGAAAUGUUAACUACGAUUGCUCACAAGAAAGGCAAGAAACUGAUACGUAAGCCUUGCGGGGUUUCGAUUGGCAUUUCAAGUAAUGAGUGUCAAUCGGGACGUCGCGGCGAUUCUCAUAGGCCUGAGGGAGGUUCCGGGUCGUGACAGCUUGAUUUUCUCAGGGAAUUCGAUGGUCAGUAUUUCACUUACUUUCAUCAAAAAGAAAAUAAGAGAGAAUUUAUGAGCUUGAAACAUGGAAAUUUAACUAUAGAGGUGUACGAGAGCCGUUUUAACGAGCUGAUGUUAUAUGUACCGGAUCUGAUGAAAUCUGAGUAGGAUCAGGCCAAUUAUUUCAAGGAAGGGUUCCGUAAUGAGAUCAGGGAACGAAUGACAGUGAUUGGUAGGGAGCCACAUAAGGAGGUCGUACACUGAGUUUGCAAAAAGGAGAAAUCUAAAUGUAUCUUUCAGUCAGCCACCAAAAAGGGGCACAGACUCAUCUGCUUUAGGGAGUAUUACCUUUGUUUCAGUGACAUCUCCUCGACCUCCAUUUUCAUAGACACAGCAUAGGCCUCCAAGAUUUAAUAGAUCUAAGAUGACUACUUCUGGGAAGAGUUUCGGAGGUUCUAAUAGAUGUAGGAGAUGUGGGAAGAAUCAUGUUGGGUAGUGUAGGGCACCAGUACGAUGUUAUCAUUGUGGUCAGUCAAGUCACUUUAGGAGAGAUUGUCCGCAGCUGAGACAGGCUACUACAACUGCUCCAUCUCCACCAGCUCGUACGGAUAUACAGAGGAGAGAUCCUUCUGGGUUACCAUCGAGGCAGGGAGUAGCUAUACAAUCUGGUGUAAAAAGUAACACCCCGACAUAUCCACCUUCGAGACCACAGACUCAUACCUCGACAAGAGUUUUCGUUGUGAUGGAAGAUAAGGCACAGGUCUGACCUGGAGCAGUGAUAGGUAUUAUGUCUUUAUUUGAUAAAGAUGCUUAUGUUUUGAUAGAUUCUGGCUCAGAUAGAUCUUAUGUGAGUACGACAUUUGCAUCAAUUGCUGAUAGAAACCUGUCACUAUUAGAAGGAGAAAUUGUAGUGCAUACCCCUCUAGGAGAACAGUUGAUUAGAAAUACUUGUUAUAGAGACUGUGGGAUAAAGGUAGGUGAGGAAGAAUUUAGGGGUGACUUAAUUCCUCUAGAGAUCCUGGAUUUUGAUCCAAUAUUGGGUAUGGACUAGUUAACUGCACAUCGGGCGAAUGUGGAUUGUUUUAGGAAAAAAGUUGUUCUUCGAAAUUCGGAGGGAGCAGAGAUUGUAUUUGUAGGGGAACAUCGAGUAUUAGUGCAGAGAUUGUAUCUUGUGUAAUCUCGACCAUCAAAGCUUCGAAAUUAGUGCAGAAAGGGUAUCCAGCUUAUUUGGCACACGUGAUUGAUAAUUCAAAGGGGAAACCAAAGUUAAAAGAUAUCCCAAUAGUAAGUGAGUUUUCUGAUGUAUUUCCUGAUGAGUUACCGAGACUACCUCCUGAUCGAGAGCUUGAGUUCCUUAUUGAUUUACUUCCGAGUACCGCACCUAUUUCCAUCCCUCCAUAUAAAAUGGCUCCGAUAGAGUUGAAGGAACUGAAGGUCCAACUGCAAGAUUUGGUGGAUAAAGGUUUCAUUCGCCCUAGCAUUUCUCCUUGGGGAGCACCGGUCCUAUUUGUAAAGAAAAAGGAUGGCACUUUUCGGUUAUGUAUUGAUUAUCUUCAGCUGAACCGAGUGACCAUCAAGAAUAAAUACCCUUCACCCCGGAUCGAUGAUUUUUUUGAUCAAUUACGAGGUGCUAUGGUGUUUUCAAAGAUUGAUUUGAGGUCUGGGUAUUAUCAGUUGAAGAUUAAGGAGCAGGAUGUACCUAAGACUGCUUUUAGAAUGCGUUAUGGGCAUUAUGAGUUUCUAAAGAUGCCGUUUGGUUUGACUAAUGCCCCGGUAGCUUUUAUGGAUCUUAUGAAUAGGGUGUUUCAUCCAUACUUAGAUAAGUUUGUGAUAGUGUUCAUAGAUGACAUCCUGGUUUAUUCAAAAAACGAUGAUGAACAUGCUGCCCAUUUGAGCAUUGUGUUGCAAACUUUGCGCGAGAGACAACUCUAUGCCAAGUUCUCUAAAUGUGAGUUCUGGUUAAAGGAAGUGGUUUUCUUGGGACAUGUGGUGUCCGGAGCUGAAAUUUAUGUCGAUCUUAAGAAGAUUGAGGCAAUUUUACAAUGGGAGCAACCAAGAACGGUAACAAAGAUUCGUAGUUUUCUUGGCUUAGCUAGUUAUUAUCGAAGGUUUGUUCAAGGAUUUUCAUUGAUAGUAGCUCCUCUGACUCGUUUGACUCGUAAAGGAGUUAAGUUUGAGUGGGAUGAUAUUUUUGAGAAUCGAUUUUAGGAGCUAAAGAACCGAUUAACCUCUGCUCCUGAUUUAGCACUUCCUGUUAAUGGAAAAGAAUUUAUGGUGUACAAUGAUGCAUCUAAGUUGGGAUUAGGGUGUGUGUUGAUGCAGGCUAAGAAAGUGAUAGCUUAUGCUUCCUAGCAAUUGAAGAAGCACGAGACGAAUUACCCUACUCAUGACUUGGAGUUAGCAGCAGUAGUCUUCACAUUGAAGAUUUGGAGACAUUAUUUAUAUGGUGAGUGUUGUCGAAUUUUUACUGAUCAUAAGAGUUUGAAAUACUUGCUCACCCAGAAAGAGCUUAACUUGAGACAGAGACAAUGGUUGGAGUUGAUUAAGGAUUACGACUUGGAGAUUGUUUAUCAUCCGAGGAAGGCAAAUGUGGUAGCGGAUGCCUUAAGUCGUAAAUCUUCAUCGUUGUUAGCAACACUUUGGAGUUCUUAUUUUUUUAUGUUAGUUGAGAUGAAAUCUAUAAGGAUCCAGUUGAAUAAUGGUGAGAAUGGAAUCCUACUUGCUAGUUUCAUUGUGAGACCUUCAUUAUCGAAUUGGAUCAGAAAAUUGCAGAAAUUUGAUCAUUGGUUGAAACAGGAAGUUCAAAAGCUGCAAGAUGGAGAAACUAGUGAGUUUAGACUCAGCGAUGAUGGUACCUUGAUGCUUAGAGACCGAAUUUGUGUCCUUAAGGAUGAUCAGUUGAGACGAGCUAUUUUGGAGGAAGCUCAUUCUUCCACCUACGCUUUACAUCUCGGAAGCACCAAGAUGUAUCGAACUAUUAAGGAAAGUUAUUGGUGGUCAGGUAUGAAACGAGACAUAGCAGAGUUUGUAGCAAAAUUUCUCACAUGCCAACAGAUCAAGGCGGGGCAUCAAAAACCGUCAAGUACUCUUCAACCUUUAUCGAUUCUUGAAUAGAAGUGGGAACACGUGACUACAGAUUUUGUAUUGGGUUUACUGCGGACACACAGUGGGAAGGAUGCUAUUUGGGUGAUUGUGGAUAGACUGACUAAGCCCGCUUAUUUCUUAGCUAUCCAUAGCACGUAUUCUAUUGAGAAACUGGCAAAACUUUAUAUAGAUGAGAUUGUGAGACUACAUGGAGUUCCAGUUUCUAUUGUGUCAAAUCAUGACCCUCGGUUUACUUCUCGAUUUUGGCAGAAACUUCAAGAAGCUCUCAGAACUAAAUUGAGAUUUAGUACUGCAUUUCAUCCGCAGAUUGAUGGUCAAUCUGAAAAAACUAUUCAAACCUUGGAGGAUAUGUUACGGGCUUGUGUCAUUGAUUUUAUUGGGAGUUGGGACAGACACUUGCCAUUGGUAGAGUUCGCAUAUAAUAACAGUUUUCAGUCUAGUAUUAGGAUGGCACCAUACGAGGUUUGUAUGGAAGGAAGUGUCGAACUCCACUCUGUUGGGAUGAAGUGGGAGAGAGGAAAUUGGCUAAUGUGGAAUUGGUUGAUCUGACAAAUGACAAGGUCAAGGUUAUCCGAGAGCGGUUAAAGACAGCUCAAGAUAGGCAGAAGAAUUAUUCUGAUAGACGAAGGAAAUAUUUGGAGUUUGAAGUGGAUGAUAAAGCUUUUCUUAAGGUUUCUACUUGGAAAGGUAAUAAUUUGAAAAUUCCAAGUAUUAAAUCUUAUUUGAUUAUACUAUUGUGAUAAUUUGUGGUAUUUAUUGGAUAAUGAAAGGUGUGAUUCGGUUCGUGAAGAGGAGAAAGCUUAAUCUGAGAUAUAUUGGACCCUUUCGUAUCAUUGAAAGGAUUGGGCUAGUGGUUUACAGACUUGAAUUACCCCUAGAGUUAGAUCGGAUUCAUAAUGUCUUCCACGUCUCGAUGUUGAAAAAGUAUGUUCCCGAUCCCUCUCACAUUCUAGAGACACCUCCCAUUGAGUUGCAUGAGGAUUUGAAGUUCGAGGUACAGUCUAUACGUAUUCUAGAUCGAAGGGAUCGAGUGCUAAGGAACAAGAGCAUUCCAAUGGUGAAAGUAUUGUGAAAAAAUGCUCGAAUAGAAGAGAUGACGUGGGAAGUCGAGUGCCAAAUGAGAAACAAAUAUCCACAUAUUUUCUUCGAACCUAGUAAGUGAAAAGUUUGAGGUCAAAAUUUUAUUUUAAGGGGGGUAGUGCUGUAAAGCCCGACCUUAUAAAAUACUUGUCAUGACAUACAUGUGAUGGAUAGCAUGUUUGCAUGCUAGGAAAGUCCCGAAAAAAUUUACAAAAGUCGGUAUUGUACCUAGAGGAACAACAAAGUUGAUUUAAGCCUCGAACUAGAUCAAAUAGAGAUUUUAUGGUGAAAUUGAAAAUUUUAUAGUCAAUGAAUGACUUAAAAUGGUGAUUCGGAGUUCAAAGAUUAAUUUGGAGUCAAACCGGAAUUUUCACUAUCUAGGGGCAAAAUGGUAAUUUUGCCACUUGAGGAUAAAAUUGGAAUAUUGGAAGAAGUUUUUGAUCAAGAUUGAUCACAUUUGACUCAUUGGAAUAUAAUUUGAGGUUGAUAAGUGAAAAAAAUUGUAAUCUCGGUACUUUUCAGAGCAUAGGGGUAAAAUGGUAAUUUUUGCCACCGUAGGGGCAAAAUUAUAAUUUUUCACACCCGACAGUUGUCCAGUACAUGAAUUUUAUCCAAUAUUAUCAUGGAUAUUUGAAGGAAAUUUAUAUGGAGGAGAGAGAAAGGUUAAUAGUUAAGAAAUUAAAAACGGGCCAAUGACAUGAUGUCACGUGUCAUGCCUUUAUUAAUUUAUUAUUUUUCCUUUUUAAAAGGCACAAAAAUCAACCCAUCUUCCACCCCAUGGUUAGCCAAACCAGCAAGAAGAGAGAGAAAACAAAAACCGAACUCUAGAAAGAGAAAAUCAAAGAAAAAGUGUGAAUUUUCAAGGAAAUUAAGUGAAAAAGGUAAGAUUUUUUCUAUUAAGCUUAAGUUUUCUUAUUCCCAAGCAUUUCUCCUUCUUUUCCAUGAUUAAAUUGCAUGUUUACAUGCCUGGUCAUAUGGGUCUAGAGAGAGAAAAUUGUUGGAUUUAUUUGAUUUUGAUAUAUGAUGGUGUUUAGUGUUAGUUUAGCAUGUUAGUAAACAAAAUAUGUGGAAAAACAUUCAUUUUUCCCAUUACCUAGCCUUAGCUGAAUUUUGAAGUCAAUGGUGAGGAAGAAUGUGAUGUUAUUUUAGGUUAUUUGAUUAUGAAAUCAUGGUUUUUGAUAUGGAAAUAAUGAAUUAUGGAAAGAAAAUCAAGUAGGAAAAUUUGUGACAAUGAUGCACCAUUUUGGCCGAAUUUUUCCAAGAAGGAAUAUGAAUGUGGCUUUGCUGAUUUUUGGGUUAUUUGGCUGGACAUUGGUGAAUUGAAGCAUUAGAAAAAGAAAUGGGAUCAAUUGGAGCUAAAUUGGAUGCGUAUUUCAAUUUAUCGGGUAAAAGANNNNNNNNNNNNNNNNNNNNNNNNNNNNNNNNNNNNNNNNNNNNNNNNNNNNNNNNNNNNNNNNNNNNNNNNNNNNNNNNNNNNNNNNNNNNNNNNNNNNNNNNNNNNNNNNNNNNNNNNNNNNNNNNNNNNNNNNNNNNNNNNNNNNNNNNNNNNNNNNNNNNNNNNNNNNNNNNNNNNNNNNNNNNNNNNNNNNNNNNNNNNNNNNNNNNNNNNNNNNNNNNNNNNNNNNNNNNNNNNNNNNNNNNNNNNNNNNNNNNNNNNNNNNNNNNNNNNNNNNNNNNNNNNNNNNNNNNNNNNNNNNNNNNNNNNNNNNNNNNNNNNNNNNNNNNNNNNNNNNNNNNNNNNNNNNNNNNNNNNNNNNNNNNNNNNNNNNNNNNNNNNNNNNNNNNNNNNNNNNNNNNNNNNNNNNNNNNNNNNNNNNNNNNNNNNNNNNNNNNNNNNNNNNNNNNNNNNNNNNNNNNNNNNNNNNNNNNNNNNNNNNNNNNNNNNNNNNNNNNNNNNNNNNNNNNNNNNNNNNNNNNNNNNNNNNNNNNNNNNNNNNNNNNNNNNNNNNNNNNNNNNNNNNNNNNNNNNNNNNNNNNNNNNNNNNNNNNNNNNNNNNNNNNNNNNNNNNNNNNNNNNNNNNNNNNNNNNNNNNNNNNNNNNNNNNNNNNNNNNNNNNNNNNNNNNNNNNNNNNNNNNNNNNNNNNNNNNNNNNNNNNNNNNNNNNNNNNNNNNNNNNNNNNNNNNNNNNNNNNNNNNNNNNNNNNNNNNNNNNNNNNNNNNNNNNNNNNNNNNNNNNNNNNNNNNNNNNNNNNNNNNNNNNNNNNNNNNNNNNNNNNNNNNNNNNNNNNNNNNNNNNNNNNNNNNNNNNNNNNNNNNNNNNNNNNNNNNNNNNNNNNNNNNNNNNNNNNNNNNNNNNNNNNNNNNNNNNNNNNNNNNNNNNNNNNNNNNNNNNNNNNNNNNNNNNNNNNNNNNNNNNNNNNNNNNNNNNNNNNNNNNNNNNNNNNNNNNNNNNNNNNNNNNNNNNNNNNNNNNNNNNNNNNNNNNNNNNNNNNNNNNNNNNNNNNNNNNNNNNNNNNNNNNNNNNNNNNNNNNNNNNNNNNNNNNNNNNNNNNNNNNNNNNNNNNNNNNNNNNNNNNNNNNNNNNNNNNNNNNNNNNNNNNNNNNNNNNNNNNNNNNNNNNNNNNNNNNNNNNNNNNNNNNNNNNNNNNNNNNNNNNNNNNNNNNNNNNNNNNNNNNNNNNNNNNNNNNNNNNNNNNNNNNNNNNNNNNNNNNNNNNNNNNNNNNNNNNNNNNNNNNNNNNNNNNNNNNNNNNNNNNNNNNNNNNNNNNNNNNNNNNNNNNNNNNNNNNNNNNNNNNNNNNNNNNNNNNNNNNNNNNNNNNNNNNNNNNNNNNNNNNNNNNNNNNNNNNNNNNNNNNNNNNNNNNNNNNNNNNNNNNNNNNNNNNNNNNNNNNNNNNNNNNNNNNNNNNNNNNNNNNNNNNNNNNNNNNNNNNNNNNNNNNNNNNNNNNNNNNNNNNNNNNNNNNNNNNNNNNNNNNNNNNNNNNNNNNNNNNNNNNNNNNNNNNNNNNNNNNNNNNNNNNNNNNNNNNNNNNNNNNNNNNNNNNNNNNNNNNNNNNNNNNNNNNNNNNNNNNNNNNNNNNNNNNNNNNNNNNNNNNNNNNNNNNNNNNNNNNUGUGUCAAGGUGGUGAGUCCUCCGAUAAAGGCAAGGAAAUUUCAUCCGAGGACCAGUAGACAGAGUGCUUCGAAAGUCUGCAUUCUAGACAUUAUGAGUAAACUUACUGUCAUUUUAAUUAUCUAGGGUGGUUUUUAGAUGCUUUCAUGAAUUCUAUGGAAAAAGGAAUUUAAAAAGGUAAAUUUUCAUGUUUUAUGAAUAAAUAAGUUUUAAUGAAAUUAAUUUAUAAAUUGUUUUGGAAUUAAUAAUGAUUUUGAAGAAUAGAGUACACGGAGAUUGUUAAUUGUGACAAUUUGAUUGUUUAAAUUGACUGGCUUAUGAUAAAUCGAGCAUGAUUGGCUAGUUGGCAAUUGUAUUGAAAUGCGAAUUGUUUGGUUGCCUUGAAAAACUGCGAAUUACAAAAUUGUCAUAUCAUGUUAUUGAGUUUUAUUAUAUGGUGGAUUAUAUAUUAAUUAAUCACUGCAGUAGGGGGUUUCUGUGGACCAGCCUUUUAGAGGGGCACGGUAAACCCCAUUAUAUUCUUACCUCGAACGGAGAGGCGCGUAGGGUAUCUCCUGAGGUAAAAUUUUGGGUUCACUUCACGCUAAACCACCACGUGAGGGGGAACUCAGCCAACGCCAAGGAACGGCUAUGUUUUCAAAACAAAAACAUGAUUUAUGUGAAAUGUGAAUUUUAAUAGCCUUGGCGGUCUCGGUAGGAUGCCUUGGCCAAGGUGUCCCCAAGAAUGGAUUUAUGGCACAAGCCUAGAUUUUUAUGAGAUUCAUAAGCCUUUUUACGUAUUUUGAAAGAGAUUGUUCUAAUUGUAUAACCUAGUUUAUGAUGGUUUACUUUAUUGUCUCCAUGUACGCAGUUCUAGAUGUUUAUGAUGAUGUUUGUUUACUCAUUGGGAUUUUAUAAUCUCACCACCCUCCUUUCCACCCAUUUCAGGUUCAGUAUAGACUGUAGAUAGCUGAUCUCAUCGAGGACUACAGUGGGAUCUGCAUUUUCCAAACCGUAGGUUCACAGUCCUCUUUACUUUUGUUUAUUCGGGGGCACUCUUGUUAUUGUAAAUUAAAUUAAAUAUUUUGGCUUACUGUAUUUAAGUAUGUAUUAAUUUAUUUAGCUUUUACGCUAUAAAAAUUAUGCACGUAUAACUCUAUAAAUAUUGUUUUAUAAGAAAAUAGAAUAUUUUACUUAAUAUUUCUUUUAUUUUUUUAUUAUAUUCAAAUAACCAUAAUUUUGUUUUAAAGGAAGAUUUUAGACUUUUAAACUCAUUUUGAGUAUGAAUUAUGUAUUUUGUACUUGGAUAUUACGUUUUAUCUAGUUUCAAAAAUUUUGAGAAAAAUGACCAAAAUACCCUUGUGAGACGAAAAAUAAUAUUUUAUUUGUUUAAAGCUGGAAACAACUUAAAAUCUUUUAGAACACGAUAUUUGACAAUGGUUGCUCACAAGGAAACAGAGAAACUGAUAGUAAAGCCUUGCGAGGUUUCAGGUUGACAUCCCGGGCAAUAAGUGUCUACCGGGACACCGCGGCGGUUGUCACGGGCUCGAGGGGAGUACCGGGUCGUGACAAUUCGAUUGGUAUCAGAGCUUUUGGCUUUAAAGAUCAAAGUUUUUAGUUUUAAAGUUGUUUUUAAAAUUUACAAUAUCAAUGUGGCCUCGAAUUAAGUUAAGUUAGGUUAGGUUGAAUAGAUUGCAUGCAUCUGCAUAUAGAGCCUAAGGUUACCUAAACUUUCUCGUAUUUUUUUUAUAUAGAUUACAAUGCCUCCUCAACGCGAACGCCCACCUUUCACUAGAUCGGUUGGGAGGGGAAGAGGUCGUUCCCAACGUCAUCAGCCAGAUACAGUAGAGGAGGAAUCAGCUGCAUCUACCAUUCGAGCAGCACCUGCUGUUGAGCAGACCAAUAGUCCUCCACAUCUUCCAUCUCCUCAGCCACCUACGGGUAUUCCCGCCAUGCCUACUGAGGCAGCACAAGCAUUGGCAGCUUUCUUUGCAGCAAUGGCUGGUCAAGCUCAGACUGGUCAAGUUCCAUUUGUAAUGCCUCUAGCUACUCCUUUAGUUCCACCACCAGUACAGGAUGUAUCCAUUUCCAAGAAGUUGAAGGAGGCUAGGCAAUUGGGUUGUGUAUCUUUCACGGGUGAGUUGGAUGCCACUGUGGCCAAGGACUGGAUUAAUCAAGUUUCAAAGACUCUCUCUGAUAUGGGAUUAGACGACGACAUGAAGCUGAUGGUGGCUACGAGAUUAUUAGAGAAGAGGGCUCGUACUUGAUGGAAUUCGCUGAAGUCCCGUUCCGCUACUCCUCAAACAUGGUCUGAUUUUUUCAGGGAAUUCGAUGGUCAGUAUUUCACUUAUUUCCAUCAGAAAGAAAAGAAGAGAGAAUUUUUGAGUUUGAAACAGGAAAAUCUAACUGUAGAGGAGUACGAGACUCGUUUUAACGAGUUGAUGUUAUAUGUGCCGGAUCUGGUGAAAUCUGAGCAGGAUCAGGCUAGCUAUUUCGAGGAAGGGCUCCGUCAUGAGAUUAGAGAGCGAAUGACAGUGACUGGUAGGGAGCCACAUAAGGAGGUGGUACAGAUGGCUUUACGGGCUGAGAAGCUCACGACUGAGAAUAGGAGGAUUCAGAAUGAGUUUGCAAAAAGGAGGAAUCUUGGUAUGUCUUCUAGUCAGCCAAUAAAAAGAGGCAAGGACUCAACGACUUCAGGGAGCACUACUUCUGUUUCCGUGACAUCUCCUCGACUUCCAUUUCCACCAUCACAGCAGAGACCUUCGAGGUUUAGCAGAUCUGCUAUGACUGGUUCUGGGAAGAGUCUCGGAGGUUCUGACAGAUGCAGAAAUUGUGGGAAUUAUCAUAGUGGGCUAUGUAGAGGGCCAACAAGAUGUUUCCAAUGUGGACAGACGGGUCACAUUAGGAGUAAUUGCCCACAGUUAGGACGAGCCACUGUAGCUGCAUCAUCUCCACCAGCUCGCACAGAUAUACAGAGGAGAGAUUCUUCUGGGUUACCACCGAGACAGGGAGUAGCCAUACGGUCUGGUGUGGAGAGUAAUACCCCGUCACAUCCACCUUCGAGACCACAGACUCGUACCGCGACAAGAGUUUUUGCUGUGACAGAAGAUGAGGCACGAGUCCGACCUGGAGCAGUGACAGGUACUAUGUCUUUAUUUGAUAAAGAUGCUUAUGUUUUGAUAGAUUCUGGCUCAGAUAGAUCUUAUGUGAGUACGACAUUUGCAUCAAUUACUGAUAGAAACCUGUCACCAUUAGAGGAAGAAAUUGUAGUGCAUACCCCUCUAGGAGAACAGUUGAUUAGAAAUACUUGUUAUAGAGACUGUGGGGUAAGGGUAGGUGAGGAAGAAUUUAGGGGUGACUUAAUUCCUCUAGAGAUCUUGGAUUUUGAUUUAAUAUUAGGUAUGGACUGGUUAACUGCACAUCGGGCGAACGUGGAUUGUUUCCGAAAAGAAGUUGUUCUUCGGAAUUCGGAGGGAGCAGAGAUUGUGUUUGUAGGGGAACGUCGAGUAUUACCAUCUUGUGUAAUCUCGGCCAUCAAAGCUUCAAAAUUAGUGCAAAAAGGGUAUCCGACUUAUUUGGCAUACGUGAUCGAUACUUCAAAGGGGGAACCUAAGUUAGAGGAUGUCCCAAUAGUAAGUGAGUUUCCUGAUGUAUUUCCUGAUGAUUUACCGGGAAUACCUCCUAAUCGAGAGCUUGAGUUCCCUAUUGAUUUACUUCCGGGUACCGCACCUAUUUCUAUUCCUCCAUAUAGAAUGGCUCCAGCAGAGUUGAAGGAACUGAAAGCCCAGUUGCAAGAUUUGGUGGAUAAAGGUUUCAUUCGCCCUAGCAUUUCUCCUUGGGGAGCACCAGUCCUAUUUGUAAAGAAGAAAGAUGGCACUCUUCGAUUGUGUAUUGAUUACCGUCAGCUGAACCGAGUGACCAUCAAGAAUAAAUACCCUUUACCCCGGAUAGAUGAUCUUUUUGAUCAAUUACGAGGUGCUAUGGUAUUCUCUAAGAUUGAUUUGAGAUCUGGGUACUAUCAGUUGAGGAUUAAGGAGCAGGAUGUACCUAAGACUGCCUUCAGGACGCGUUAUGGGCAUUAUGAGUUUCUGGUGAUGCCGUUUGGUUUGACUAAUGCCCCGGCAGUUUUUAUGGAUCUUAUGAACAGGGUGUUCCAUCCAUACUUGGAUAAGUUUGUGAUAGUAUUCAUCGAUGACAUCCUGGUUUAUUCGAAGAAUGAUGAUGAACAUGCUGCCCAUUUGCGCAUUGUGUUGCAAACUUUGCGCGAGAGACAACUCUAUGCCAAGUUCUCUAAAUGUGAAUUCUGGUUGAAGGAAGUGGUUUUCUUGGGACAUGUGGUGUCCGGAGCUGGAAUUUAUGUCGAUCCCAAGAAGAUUGAGGCAAUCUUGCAAUGGGAGCAACCGAGAACGGUAACUGAGAUUCGUAGUUUCCUUGGCUUAGCCGGUUAUUACCGGAGAUUUGUUCAGGGAUUUUCUUUGAUAGCAGCUCCUCUGACUCGUUUGACUCGUAAAGGAGUUAAGUAUGAGUGGGAUGAUGUUUGUGAGAAUCGAUUUCAGGAGCUAAAGAACCGGUUAACCUCCGCUCCCGUUUUAACACUUCCUGUUAGUGGAAAAGAAUUUGUGGUAUAUAGCGAUGCAUCUAAGUUGGGAUUAGGGUGUGUGUUGAUGCAGGACGAGAAAGUAAUAGCUUAUGCUUCCCGACAGUUGAAGAAGCACGAGACGAAUUACCCUACUCAUGACUUGGAGUUAGCAGCAGUAGUAUUCGCAUUGAAGAUUUGGAGACAUUAUUUAUAUGGUGAGCGUUGUCGGAUUUUUUCUGAUCAUAAAAGUUUGAAGUAUUUGCUCACCCAGAAAGAGCUUAACUUGAGACAGAGACGAUGGUUGGAGUUGAUUAAGGAUUAUGACUUAGUGAUUGAUUAUCAUCCGGGAAAAGCAAAUGUUGUAGCGGAUGCCUUAAGUCGUAAAUCCUCAUCGUCGUUAGCAACACUUCAAAGUUCUUAUUUUCCGAUGUUACUUGAGAUGAAAUCUCUAGGGAUCCAGUUGAAUAAUGGUGAGGAUGGAACCCUACUUGCUAGUUUCGUCGUGAGACCUUCAUUGUUGAAUCAGAUAAGAGAAUUGCAGAAAUCUGAUGAUUGGUUGAAACAGGAAGUUCAAAAGCUGCAAGAUGGAGAAGCUAGUGAGUUUAGACUCAGCGAUGAUGGUACUUUCAUGCUUAGAGACCGAAUUUGUGUUCCUAAGGAUGAUCAGUUGAGACGAGCUAUUUUGGAGGAAGCUCAUUCUUCCGCCUACGCUUUACAUCCCGGAAGCACCAAGAUGUAUCGGACUAUUAAAGAAAGUUAUUGGUGGCCGGGUAUGAAACGAGACAUAGCAGAGUUUGUAGCGAAAUGUCUCACAUGCCAACAGAUCAAGGCGGAGCAUCAAAAACCGUCAGGUACUCUUCAACCUUUACCGAUUCCUGAAUGGAAGUGGGAACAUGUGACUAUGGACUUUGUAUUGGGUUUGCCGCGGACACAAAGUGGGAAGGAUGCUAUUUGGGUGAUUGUGGAUAGAUUGACUAAGUCCGCCCAUUUCUUGGCUAUCCAUAGCACGUAUUCUAUUGAGAGGCUGGCAAGACUUUAUAUAGAUGAGAUUGUGAGAUUACACGGAGUCCCAGUUUCUAUUGUGUCAGAUCGAGACCCUCGAUUUACUUCUCGAUUUUGGCCGAAAUUUCAGGAAGCUCUUGGAACUAAAUUGAGAUUUAGUACUGCCUUUCAUCCACAGACAGAUGGUCAAUCUGAGAGAACUAUUCAGACCUUGGAGGAUAUGUUACGGGCUUGUGUCAUUGACUUUAUCGGGAGUUGGGACAGACACUUGCCAUUGGUGGAGUUUGCUUAUAAUAACAGUUUUCAGUCUAGUAUUGGGAUGGCACCAUACGAGGCUUUGUAUGGAAGGAAAUGCCGAACUCCGCUCUGUUGGGAUGAAGUAGGUGAGAGGAAAUUGGUGAAUGUGGAAUUGAUUGAUUUGACAAACGAUAAGGUCAAAGUUAUCCGAGAGCGAUUAAAGACAGCUCAAGAUAGGCAGAAGAAUUAUUCGGAUAAACGAAGGAAAGAUUUGGAGUUUGAAGUCGACGAUAAAGUUUUUCUUAAGGUUUCUCCUUGGAAAGGUAAUAAUUUGAAAUUUCCAAGUAUUAAAUCUUAUUUGAUUAUACUAUUGUGAUAAUUUGUGGUAUUUAUUGGAUGAUGAAAGGUGUGAUUCGAUUCGCGAAGAGGGGAAAGCUCAAUCCAAGAUACAUUGGACCUUUUCGUAUCAUUGAAAGGAUUGGGCCAGUGGCUUACAGACUUGAAUUACCCCCAGAGUUAGAUCGAAUUCAUAAUGUCUUCCAUGUCUCGAUGUUGAAAAAGUAUGUUCCCGAUCCCUCUCACAUUUUAGAGACACCUCCCAUUGAGUUGCAUGAGGAUUUGAAGUUCGAGGUGCAGCCUGUACGUAUUCUAGAUCGAAAGGAUCGAGUGCUAAGGAACAAGAGCAUUCCAAUGGUGAAAGUAUUGUGGAAGAAUGCUCGAAUGGAGGAGAUGACGUGGGAAGUCGAGAGCCAGAUGAGAAACCAAUAUCCACAUCUUUUAUUCGAAUCAGGUAAGUGAAAUUUUGAGGUCAAAAUUUUAUUUUAAGGGGGGUAGUGCUGUAAAGCCCGACCUUAUAAAAUACUAUUCAUGACAUACAUGUGAUGAUAGCAUGAUUGCAUGCUAGGAGAGUCCCGAAAAAUUUACAAAAGUCGGUAUUGUACCUAGAGGUACAACAAAGUUUAUUUAAUCCUCGAACUAGAUCAAAUAGGAAUUUUAAGGUGAGAUUAAGAGUUUCACAGUUCAUGGAUGACUUAAAAUGGUAAUUUGGAGUUUGAGGAUCAAUUUGGAGUCAAAUCGGAAUUUUCACUAACUAGGGGCAAAAUGGUCAUUUGCCACCUGGGGACAAAAUGGGAAUUUUAGAAAAGAUUUUUUUGACCCCAUUUGACUUAUUAGAGUAUAAUUUGACUUAUUGAAGUAUGAUUUGAGGUUUAGAAGUGAAAAAUUUUAAUUUCGGUAUAAUUUGGAGUAUAGGGGUAAAAUGGUAAUUUUGCCACCUCAGGGGCAAAAUUGUAAUUUUCCACCACCAGGAUAUUUUUUCCAGCACAUGGUCUUCCUUUGUCUUCAUCUUUGACCCUUGACUAAACAUGUGGUGGAGAUAAAAUGUUUAAAUUUUUAAAAUUUUAAAAACGGGCCAAUGACAUGAUGCCAUGUGUCAUGCCUUUAUUAAUUUAUUAUUUUCCUUUUUAAAAGGCACAAAAUCAGCCCAUCUUCCACCCCAUGGCCGGCCAAACCAGCAAGAAGAGAGAGAAAAAAAAAACAAAACCCUAGAGAGAGAAAAUCAAAGAAAAAGUGUGAAUUUUCAAGGAAAUUAAGUGAAAAAGGUGAGAUUUUUUCUAUUAAGCUUGAGUUUUCUUAUUCCCAAGCAUUUCUCUUUAUUUUCCAUGAUUAAAUUACAUGUUUUCAUGAUGAAUUCAAUUCUGAAAAAAUGGGUUAGGAGAGAGAAAGUUGUUGGAUUUAUUUGAUUUUAAUUUAUGUUAGUGUUUUUAGUUAGUUUAGCAUAUUUAGAAACAAAACAACAAGAAAAGAAUUUAUUUUCUCCCCCAACCAUUAAUGGCUGAAUUUACCAUGUAGUGAGUGAGGAUGAGUUUGAUUUUAUUCUAGGAGAAUUGGUUAAGGAAUGAUGAAUUAUGAGCCUAGAAAAAUAAUGGGAAUUUUCGGAGCAAAAAUACGAAUUUUUACCCACUAGGGGUAUUUUCGUAAUUUGCUGUUGGGACUGAUAAUUUGCACCACACUGAGGGACAUUAAGUUAAUUUGGGUGCAAUUGAGGUAUAGAAACUGAAAAGAAUUAAAUUGGAGUUUAAACGGACCCGUUAGGAAUUUAAUCGGGUGAUAAGACGAAUUAGGCCAAUACCGGGUUUAGAUAGUUACCAGUGCAUUUUUGCAUUCCAUAUCAUGCAUUGGUAGUCUAAAUUAGUUUAAUUUUGAUUUAGUACCAACUUGGUGAAACUCUCGAUUUUGUACUGUGUCAAGGUGGUGAGUCCUCCGAUAAAGGCAAGGAAAUUGCAUCCGAGGACCAGUAGACAGAGUGCUUCGAAAGUCUGCAUUCUAGACAUUGUGAGUAAACUUACUGUCAUUUUAAUUAUCUAGGGUGGUUUUUAGAUGCUUUCAUGAAUUCUAUGGAAAAAGGAAUUUAAAAAGAUAAAUUUUCAUGUUUUAUGAAUAAAUGAGUUUCAAUGAAAUUAAAUUAUAAAUUGUUUUGAAAUUAAUAGUGAUUUUGAAAAAUAGAGUACACGGAGACUGUUAAUUGUGGCAAUUUGAUUGUUUAAAUUAACUGGCUUAUGAUAAAUCGAGCAUGAUUGGCUAGUUGGCAAUUGUAUUGAAAUGCGAAUUGUUUGGUUACCUUGAAAAACUACGAAUUACAAAAUUGCCAUAUCAUGUUAUUGAGUUUUAUUAUAUGGUGGAUUAUAUAUUAAUUAAUCACUGCAGUAGGGGGUUUCUGUGGACCAGCCUUUUAGAGGGGCACGGUAAACCCCAUUAUAUUCUUACCUCGAACGGAGAGGCGCGUAGGGUAUCUCCUGGGGUAAAGUUUAGGGUUCACUUCACGCUAAACCACCACGUGAGGGGGAACUCAGCCAACGCCAAGGAACGGCUAUGUUUUCAAAACAAAAACAUGAUUUAUGUGAAAUGUGAAUUUUAAUAGCCUUGGCGGUCUCGGUAGGAUGCCUCGGCCAAGGUGUCCCCGAGAAUGGAUUUAUGGCACAAGCCUAGAUUUUUAUGAGAUUCAUAAGCCUUUUUAUGUAUUUUGAACGAGAUGUGUUCUAAUUGUAUAACCCAGUUUAUGAUGAUUUACUUUAUUGUCUCCAUGUACUCAAUUCUAGAUGUUUAUGAUGAUGUUUGUUUGCUCAUUGGGAUUUUAUAAUCUCACCACCCUCAUUUCCACCCAUUUCAGGUUCAGUAUAGACUGUAGAUAGUUGAUCUCAUCGAGGACUACAGUGGGAUCUGCAUUUUCCAAAUCGUAGGUUCACAAUCCUCUUUACUUUUGUUUAUUCAGGGGCACUCUUAUUAUUGUAAAUUAAAUUAAAUAUUUUGACUUACUGUAUUUAAUUAUGUAUAAAUUUAUUUAGCUUUUACGAUAUAAAAAUUAUUGACGUAUAACUCUAUAAAUAUUGUUUUAUAAGAAAAUAGAAUAUUUUACUUAAUAUUUCUUUUAUUUUCUUAUUUUAUUCAAAUAACCAUAAUUUCGUUUUAAAUGAAGAUUUUAGACUUUUAAACUCAUUUUGAAUAUGAAUUAUGUGUUUUGUACUUGUAUAUUACGUUUUAGCCAGUUUCGAAAUUUUUGAAAAAAAUGACCAAAAUACCCUUGUGAGACGAAAAAUAAUAUUUUAUUUGUUUAAAGUUGGAAACAGCUUAAAAUCUUUUAGAACACGAUAUUUGACAAUGGUUGCUCACAAGGGAACAGAGAAACUGAUAGUAAAGCCUCGCGGGUUUCAGGUUGACAAGCCGGGCAAUAAGUGUCUAUCGGGACACCGCGGCUGUUGUCAAGGCUCGAGGGGAAUACCGGGUCGUGACAUUUUAUGAAUUGUAUGAAUUAUUUUAUUUUACCCUUGUAGGCUGGGUAGUAUUAUAUUAGUCUUGUUAUACUGUUAAAAUUUUAUUAUAUGGUGGGUUUAGCUUGCUGUAGUAGGCGGGUUUUGUGGACCAACCUAUUAGAAGGGAACAGAAUCUGGAUAUAUAUAUGUACCUCGGUUGGAGAGGCGCGUAGGGUAUCUCCUGAGGUAUGGUUGGAGUUCACGUCACGCCGAACCACCUCAUGACGAUGAACUCCGCUAACGCCAAGGAAUGGCUGUGUUCUUUAUUUUAAACUAAAAAUAUAUUUACGUGUAUACGAACUUUUUAACAACCUUGGCGAACUCGGUUAGAUGACUCGGCCAAGGUAUCCUCGAGAAUGAUUUUAGCAAGAGCCAAGCUUUUAAAAUACUCAUAAGCCAUGUUGAAUAUUUAAAUGAAAUGAAUAUUUAUGUUAUGAAAUACAUAUGGAGAUGAAAUAUUUUAAUUGUCUCCUUUUACUCGGACUUUAGAUCUUUUGAAUGAUGUUUGUUUACUCACUGGGAUUAUAAAAUCUCACCACUCUCCUUUCCCUCCAUUUCAGGCUUAGAUUUGAUUGUAGAUAGCUGAUCUCAUCGAGGACUACCGUUGGGUUUGCAUUCUUCAAAUUGUAGGUUAUAAUCCUCUUUACUUUUGUUUAUUCGAGGGCCCACUUAUUAUUGUAAAUUAAAUUAAAUACUUUGGCUUAUUGUAUUACAGUAUGUAUGAAUUUAUUUAACUUUUAUACUACAAAAAUUAUUUAUGUAUAACUCUAAAAAUAUUGUUUAAUAAUAAAAUAGAAUAUUUUACUUAAUAUUUCUUUAUUUUCUUAUUAUACCCAAAUAAUCGAAAUUUCAUUUUAAAUGAAGAUUUUAGACUUUAAAACUCACUUUGGAUUAUGAAUUAUAAGUUUUGUACUCGUAUAUUACAUUUUAUCCGGUUUCAAAAAUUUUGGGAAAAAAUGCUAAAAUACCCUUGUGAGAUGAAAAUUAUUAUUUUAUUUGUUUUUUGUUGGAAACAGUUUAAAAUCUUCUAGAACAUGAUUUUCGACAACGGUUACUCAUGGGGGAAAUGAGAUACUGAUAUUAAGCCUUGCGGGGUCUCGGUUGGCAUUUCGAGAAAUGAGUGUCUAUUGGGGUACUGCGACGGUUGUCACCGGCUCAAGGGGAGUACCGGGUCGUGACAUAAAAUGUUUUGAACAAAUGCAUAUGUGUUGAAUGAAGUACUUGGAAUAUCUUUGGUCGACUCUUUUAAAAAAAAUUAUGCAUAGGAACAAGCCUUUCACAAGUGAUAUUUCUAUGUUGUUAAACAUAUAAUGUGAUGAAUUACGUGUUUGAAAUAUUAUGUUGAAUUGCCCAAUGAUUGGUUGCGUGUGAUGCAUUGAAAAUCUUGAGAUGUUCUAAACUAGUGGCAUAACGAUUAAUAUUAUUUUCCUUGAAUGUUGGAUUGUGCAACAAUGUCUAUGACUAAUAAAAUAAUGAACUAUGUGGAAUGUAUUAUUAUGCAAAGAUCCUUGUUACACGUUGUAAUAUGUGCUAUGCCUUGAAAGGUAAUAUUGAAUGAUAACUAUAACCGUGGGUGUGCAGUGUGGGAGUGCACAUGACGGUGAUGGUGGUGUACGGUGUGGGAGUGCACACGAUGAUGAUAUAUGCCAUGUGCGCUGUGGCAGUGCACAUGAUGAUAUAUGCCAUGUGCGGUUUGGGAGUGCACAUGAUGAUAUUUGCCAUGUACGGUGUGGGAGUGCACAUGAGCUGAGUUGAGGACGGUGGUUGUAUGCGUUGAGCCAUGUUGACUAGUUUCGGAAUGACCUGGUGUAUUUGAUGUAUGUUUGAAAAUUUCUAUAUAUAUAUAUGUGUAUACAUAAUAUAUAUGUAAAACCCGACCCUAUAAAUACAUGUCAUGACAUACAUGCAUUGAGUAGCAUGUUAUUACGCUAGAAAAGCACCUAAGAAUAAACGAAACCUGAUAUUGUACCUAACUGUACAUUUAAAUUGAUUUAACCUCGAACUAGUUCAAAUAGGAAUUGUAGGAUGAAAUUUAAUAUUUUAUAGUCCAGGAAUGACUAAAAAUGAUUGUUCGGAGUUCAAGGGUUCAUUUGGGGUAAAAUUAGAAAUUUUGAUAUUCAAGGGCAAAAUCGUCAUUUUGCCACCUAAGAUAAUAAUUUGAUCAUGGAGUGAAAUUUUUGACCAAGAUUAACUAUUUGGAGUAUAAUUUAAUGAUAGGAAGUGAAAAAGUUUAAUUCUGGUGAUUUUUGGAGUGUAGGGGCAAAAUCGUAAUGUUGCCACCCACGGACAAAAUUUGAGAUUUUGAGAGAAUUUAGAUCAAAUUUGACAAAUUGGAGAAUGGUAUGAGUAUAAGGGAUGAAAAAUAUGUCUAUGGGCAAUUUUUCAAUUUUUGGGGCAAAAAUGUAAUUUUUGACUUUUACGGGGGCAAAAGUGUAAAUUUCAAAAAUUACUCCACCGAGACUUUGGAUGAGUCUGAGAAUUUUAUCUAAGCUAUGAAUAUAUGAGACAAGUGUAUGGUGAAAAUUUGGAAACAAAUGGAUGAAAUUUUAAAAAUGGGCCAAUGGGAAAGUGACACGUGGCAUUUUUUUAAUGAAAUAAUAUUAUUUUAAUGAAAAGUCAGCCAUUUAAACCCAAAUUUUGAGUGCUGGCCGGCCAUAAGGAAGAAAAAGAGAGGAAAUAGAGAGGAAAGGAAGAAAAAAAGAAAAACCAAAGAGAAACAAGAAAAUUCAAAGGGAAAUUCGCGGUUUUCGACCGUUUACGCGUCUAACGGUAAGAUUUUUCGAUUUUAGCUUGAUUUCUACCUUUCCUAUGCCUUUAUUUCCAUUUAGCAUGCUUGAGGAGAGAGAUCAAAAAGUGAUAUCAAGGGCUGGACGAAAUUCUAGGGGAGAGAAAUUGAAAUUUUUAGGUUUUGAUUUUUAGUUAAAUUGAUAGUUUUAGUUAGUUAAAUGUGUUUAGAAAUUAAAUUGGGCAAGAAAUCAUUAAAUUUUCACAAUACCCACUCUUGGCUGGAUGCUCAAUGCUGUACAAUGAUGAUGAAUUGAUUUUAUUCUAAGGAAAAUGAAGAGAAAAUGAUGAAAAACGAUUAAACGUGAUAGAAAAACAAAGUAGAAAAUUAACCGAGUUAAUGUCCCAUUUUUGGCCGAAUUUUCCAAGGAAGGGAGUGAGCUGAUUUUGUUGUUUUUAGAAGGUUAUUGGCUGAUAUUUAAUGGUUAGAAAUGUUGGAGAGAGAAUGGGAUGAUUUAGAGCUAAAAUGGAGCGCGUUAGCAAUUUAUCGGGCAAAGUGCCAAAAAUAGGUUAAUACCGCGUUUAAGCCGUUUUAGGCUAUUGCAUUUCAUACCAUGCAUUAGUAUAGGAUUUAAGUUAAUUAUAUAGUGAUUUAGCAUCAAUGUGAUGAAUUGUGUAAAUUUUUGUAAUGUGUCUAGGAGGAGAGCCUUCCGGAAAAGGCAAAGAAGUCGUACCCGACGAGUAGUGAUCGGGGCGCUUAGAAAGCUUUUAGUUUGUACAAACGGUGAGUAAACUUAUUAUUAUUGUAAAUUAUCUAGAGUUUAUUUUUAAAUGCCCUUUAUGUAUUUUAUGAAAUGAAAACGAGAUUAAAACGGGAUUUUUGAUGUUUUAGGAAUAAAUGUGACAAAUAAAAAUAUAUUGUAUUGAUUAUGAAAUUGAGUAAUUGGAGGCUACAAAUUGACUUGAAAAAUAUAUAUUUUCCUAGGAAUGGCUUAUGAGAAAUGAGUAUAUGUGGCUAUAUUUUGUGAAUGCAUUGGGAAAUUUAUGUAAGUUGUUUUACUAUGCAGGCUGGAUAAAUAAAUAAAAGCCACGUUAUACUGUCGAAAUUUUAUUAAAAUUGGUGGGUUAGUCACUGCAGUGACGGGUUUCCGUGGACUGCCUAUUAGAGGGGCACGGUAAACCCAGUUAUAUAGUUACUCCGGUUGUAGAGGCGAGGAGGGUAACUCCUGGGGUAGUAUUAGAGCUCACUUCACGUCGAACCCCCACGUGAAUGUGUAACUCGGCCAACGCCAAGGAACGGCUGGUUUUAAAAAUAAAAAUGUGUUUCACGUGUGAAUAUUUUAACACCCUUGGCGGACUCGGUUAGAUGCCUCGGCCAAGGUAUCCCCGAGGAUUAGUUUUGGCUUGAGCCUUGUUUUAAUAAAAGACAUAAGCCUUAACAACUGUUUUGGUAAAUUACAAAUAUUUUAUGGUUUAAGAAAUAAAUUGAAAACAUUAUGAAAUGGGUUGAAAUUUGUUGUUUAAACUUGCCUCCAUUUUACUCGCCUUUAGAUAUUUAUGAUAAUGUCUGUUUACUCAUUGGGAUUGCAAAAUCUCACCCAACUCCUUUCCACCCAUUUCAGGUUCAGUAUAGACUGUAGAUAGCUGAUCUCAUCGAGGACUACCAUUGGAUCUGCAUUUUCCAAACCGUAGGUUCACAGUCCUCUUUACUUUUGUUUAUUCGGGGGCCCUCUUGUUAUUGUAAAUUAAAUUAAAUAUUUUGGCUUACUGUAUUUCAGUAUGUAUAAAUUUAUUUAGCUUUUACGCUAUAAAAAUUAUUCACGUAUAACUCUAUAAAUAUUGUUUUAUAAGAAAAUAGAAUAUUUUCCUUAAUAUUUCUUUUAUUUUCUUAUUAUAUUCAAAUAACCGUAAUUUCGUUUUAAAUGAAGAUUUUAGACUUUUAAACUCAUUUUGAAUAUGAAUUAUGUGUUUUGUACUUGAAUAUUAUGUUUUAGCCAGUUUCGAAAUUUUUGAGAAAAAAAUGACCAAAAUACCCUUGUGUGGCGAAAAUUUUAUUUUGAUUGUUUUUUAUCUAAAAUAGUAUAUUCUCUAAAAACUCGAUAUUUAACAAUGAUUGCUCACAGGAAAGGAAAGACACUGAUAUGUAAGCCUUGCGGGGUUCUGGUUGGCAUUCCAGAUAAUGAGUGUCAAUCGGGACGUCGCGGCGAUUGUCAUGGGCCUGAGGGAGGUUCCGGGUCGUGACAAUAUACAUGAAUUCUUAUACGUAUGUGCACCUGUCCUGUAGGGUAGAGAUGUUUGGCAAAUGAAAUGUGAUUACAUGGAAUGUUGAAAGUUGAAAUUCCUAAAUGUUUUAAAACGAGUUGAAAGACAACAUGGUAUCGAAUUUGUUUAUGAUAUACAAAUUGCAUUGUUUUAACACAAGUGCAUCGUGUUUCCAAAAACCCUUUUAUAUCGUUUGCUUGUUCCCUUCCUAUGUUCACUCAUUGGGUUUAUACUCAUUCUUUUCAACUUCAUGUUUUAGUUUUCAGGUUCGGAGGUAGUUGGAUCCUAGGUCGAGGUGCUUCCUCAUAUUCAGCUUUUGGUAGGUUUACCAUGACACUCAAUGAUAGUACCCAUGCCUAGAGUCGCUCCGCUGGCAGUCAAGGGUCUUUGUAUGUGUAUAUGGUAGUUUAAAUGUAAAUUGUAAGAAUUGUUAUAAACACUGUAUGUGUAGUUUGAUUAACAUUGUCACCAUAGGCUGGCAUGCGAUAAUACUAUUUGAGAAUGAUAUAUUCUUGGUUGUCAAAAUUGAUUCCUGAAAGAAUUAUUAUUGAAAAUUACGAACUAUGGAUCUUAAAGAAAUAUGGGUGAUGGAUGGACUAAUGAACAAGUUUACAUAGAGAGGCCUGCUUGGGCUUAGUGGGCUACGCCUAUUAGGCCCAUGCGUCGAUCAUGGCUCUGGAUUUGGGCUGUGAUAGAAUCAAUUCUUCUGUUUCAAGGUGUUGGUUUUUCAUUGUUGACUAGUGUGAAAAUUUGAAUUUUAGCUUGACUUUUGACGCUCCAAUUUUAUCCAUUGACACCAUCUUUUUCUUGUUCACUAAGUUUUUGAUUCUUGCUUUUUUUGUUUAUAGAAUUGACAUCUUCUUCAUGUAGAAUCUAUUCUUUGUCUCCAAACUUGUGCUCUUUAGUUCCUUCUUUGCUUAGAACUGACUUCAACUGUAUGGAGGAUUGACUCUUUCUUUUUGCACUUUUGGUUUCUGCAUUUUGUUCUCCCAGAUUUGAUUCUUGCUCUCUAAGUUGUCAAUUCUUCUCAAUUCCAGUAGCUUAUGUUUUCCAAGAACUAACUUCUUAUUAUCCUAGAAUAUAUUCUUCAUUACUUCUGUAUACUAAGAACUGACUUCUCCCAUUUUCAAAAUUGAUUCUUUUUGUGAUAAAAAAUAAAUUUUUGCUUUCUUCUCAUUUAAGAAUCAAAUAGUUAUUUUUGAGAAUUUGAUUCUUAGGCUAGUAGUUUGAGUUUGAAAACAAAAACUUUUUGGGAAAACUUAAAAGCAUAUCUUGAAGUUCAAGAGCAUUAUCAUUCACUUUCAAAGCAUAUUUAAUCAAUCUCAGCAUUUCAAGAUAUCUUUCUUUAUAAGAUUAGCUUGAAAACAUCUUUGAGGAUUUUCUUCAGAUUCAAAAACAUAUUUCACUUAUUUUCAAAACAUAUUUAAUUCAAUCAGUUUUAUUAUUUCAAAACUGGGAUAAAGUCAACAAUAUCCCUCUUUAUGACAUGACAAAAUUAAGAGCUAAAUUUGCUCAUUGAAGAACUACCCUUGAAAUUGUGCUCAUGAUUUCAAAAAGUUUUAAAACUAGGGUAAAAGAAUUUAAAGAAUUUUUCUCAAGUAAAGCCCCCCCUAAAUUUGUGCUCUUUUCAAAAAGAUUUACAUUUGAGUUUGAAAACAUUUUGAGAUCAUAUUUAAAAAAUGUAGCCAUGAGAUUCAAAGAAGUUAAGCUUAGGCUUUUAGCAAAUUUACUCACAAUAUUCUCCCCUUUUAUGUUAUAUGAAAAAAGCUUUAGAAAUUGAGUAUAAGAAUAUGAAGCACAUAGAUAACACACAACGUUAGUAGGAAAAGUAUAAUUAAAGCUUCCACAACAGGAAGAUUUAAAUCAUUUGGAUUAAUUACUUGAGCACACAAUUGCUUGCAUAUGGCUAGUCAAAAAUUUGAUCUAUAUCAAGCAACAUCAAAAGGUAAAGAUAGUUACUAUUUUCAUGCAUUAAAGGUAUAAGAAGAAUUGAACCAUUCAAAUCAAAUCAACAAAAUGUAUGAUGGCUGUACACUUGCAAAUGAAAACAUAAAAGUCAUCCAAUAUAAAUGAAAAUUCAGAUGUUCUAAAAAUCACAAGAAAUGUGCUCCAUAUCUACAAAACUUGAUGUUACUCUUUAAUUGAUUAACUUGAGGAUCAACUAUUUGAGUGAAACUCCUUCAUAAAUUGACUCAUCUUCUUUUUAUGCUCUUUUUGUUCAUGUAGUAACUUUUUGAUUUAAUUGUCAAAAUAACUGUCUAUUUUUGCAAUCAAGGAGUUCAUGGUAGUUUGGAAAGAAGGAUCUUUAGUGUCAAAAAAUUCCCUGAUAUCAUCUAUUUUUAUUUCUUUUAAUCUCACAAGAAGGGUUGUCUAACCUUUUGCCUUCCUUCUUGGAGAUUUUAAUACCCUCUAAGUGGAUUUUGUAACUUUGACUUAGGUAUUUUAUUUCAUUCAACUAUUGUUUUCUCAAUCUUUGAUUCUCUUAGUGACAAUAUUAAGAUGAUAAUAGUCAUUAAGACACUGAAUUCAGACCUAAAUACUUUGCCUCUAGACCUAAGGGUAAGAAAAGGUUAGAUGACUUCUCACAACGAAUGCAUGUGUUUCAUGUCAUGAUGUACUUGAAUGAUAACAUGCAUAUAUAUAUAUAUAUAUUCAUGAUAAAUCAUUCAAGAUGAACUUCACGUGUAAUAUUAUUUAUAAUCCAUUAUUAUUCUUACUUACUUUGAUUUUCAUACCUAUUUCAAGCAUUGUAAUAAGUCUUAGAGUUCUUUGGAAAGCACUCUAUGUCUAAAGAAUCUAUUUUUUAAGAUCUGAUGUGGAUUCUUGAGCUUUAGGAAAAACAAAAAUAUAUCUUGUGUAGUGCAAGAAUCGAUUCUACAAAAUAGAGAUAUCGAUUCUUGCACUUGACAUUCUGAUUUUCCUCCUUCUCGCCUUUAUUUGCCUACAACACAAAUUCUCACUUGAUUUUUGGUAUCCAAAUUUCUUUGGAUCCUUUUGGUAGUCACUAAUAACUCUAUUUCAUAGAGCUAUUUUGUCACAUUUUGAGCAUUAAAUGGGCUAAGUUCUUGAUAUUUAAUUUAAGAAUUAGGUAUUUUCUUUAUUUUAGUACAUUAUGUUGGGUUCAUUUAAGUUAAGUUGUUUUACUUUAUUUUGAUAAUUUGCUUUAAUUAUAGUUAUUAUUUACGUUGGUUUCUUGCCCAUGUAUGUGUGCAAUUGAAAGGGCUUGAAUUGAUGAAGAAAAGUGCAUGCAAGGUUCAUGGUUCUUUUGCACAUGUUCCAGUAUUUUGAGCAUAACUUCAUUAUAGAAGUCCAAUUGAUGUGAUUUUUUAGCUAAUUACAAGCUAAGAGAUUGGGCUACAACUUUUACGCUUACCAUGUUUCCGAGUUCAACUUGGAAGAAAGGGAAAUUAUGUCAUAAUUUAAAGGAAUGCAGUAAAGUAGAAAAGAUAAGACAGAACCUUGGGAGCCACGACCUUGGAUGAUUAGGUGCCAAGAGGAGGGAUAGGCUAGCAAGACAAAAACUAUAAAACCCAACCCUAUAAACACAUGUCAUGACAUACAUGCACUGAGUAGCAUGUUAUUACGCUAGGAAAGUUUCUAAGAAUAGACGAAACCUAGUAUUGUACCUAACGGUACACUUGAGUUGAUUUAAUCUCGAACUAGUUCAAAUAGGAAUCGUAAGAUGAAAUUUAAUAUUUUACAGUCUAGGAAUGACUAAAAAUGAUUGUUCAGAGUUCGAGGGUUCAUUUGGAGAAAAAUUGAAAAUUUUGAUGCUUAGGGGCAAAAUCAUCAUUUUGCACCUAAGAUAAUAAUUUGAUCAUGGAGUGAAAUUUUUUACCAAGAUUAACUAUUUGGAGUAUAAUUUAAUGAUAAGAAGUGAAAAAGUUUAAUUCUGGUGAUUUCUGGAGUGUAGGGGCAAAUUCGUAAUUUUGCCACCCACAGACAAAAUUUGAGAUUUUGAGAGAAUUUAGAUCAAAUUUGACAAAUUGGAGAAUGGUAUGAGUAUAAGGGAUGAAAAAUAUGUCUAUGGGCAAAUUUUCAAUUUUUUGGGCAAAAAUGUAAUUUUUCAAUUUUAUGGGGGCAAAAGUGUAAAUUUCAAAAAUUACUCCACCAAGACUUUGGAUAAGUCUGAGAAUUUUAUCUAAGCUAUGGAUAUGUGGGACAAGUGUAUGGUGACAAUUUGGAAACAAAUGGAUGAAAUUUUAAAAACGGGCCAUUGGGAAAGUGACACAUGGCACUUUUUAAUGAUUUAAUAUUAUUUUAAUGAAAAGUUAGCCCAUUUAAACCCCAUAUUAAGUGCUGGCCGGCCAUAAGGAAAGAACAAGAGAGAAAAUAGAGAGGAAAGGAAGAAAAGAGAAAAACAAAGGAAAACUAGAAAAUUCAAAGGGAAAUCGCGUUUUUCGUCCGUUUAUGCGUCUAACGGUAAGAUUUUUCGAUUUUAGCUUGAUUUCUACCUUUCCUAUGUCUUUAUUUCCAUUAAGCAUGCUUGAGGAGAGAGAUCAAAAAGUGAAACCAAGGGCUGGCCGAAAUUCUACAGGAGAGAUUUUGGAAUUUUUAGGUUUUGAUUUUUAGUUAAAUUGGUAGUUUUAAUUAGUUAAAUGUGUAUAGAAAUUAAAUUGGGCAAGAAAGCAUGAAAUUUUCACAAUACCCACCCUUGUCUGAAUAUGCAUUGAUGUAAAAUGAUGAUGAACUGAUUUUUAUUCUAAGAGAAAUAAAGAGAAAAUGAUGAAAAAUGGUUAAAUGUGAUAGAAAAACAAAAUGGAAAAUUAAUCAAGUAAAUGUCCCAUUUUUGACCGAAUUUUCCAAGGAAAAAAGUGAACUGAUUUUGGUGAUUUUAGAAAGUUAUUGGCUGAUAUUUAAUGGUUAGAAAUGUUGUGGAGAAAAUGAGACAAUUUAGAGCUAAAAUGGAGUGCGUUAGCAAUUUAACGGGUAAAAUGCCAAAAAUAGGUUAAUACUGCGUUUAAGCCGUUUUAGGCUAUUGCAUUUCAUACCAUGCAUUAGUAUAGGAUUUAAGUCAAUUAUAUAGAGAUUUAACAUCAAUGUGGUGAAUUGGGUAAAUUUUGCAAUGUGUUUAGGAGGAGAGCCUUUCGGUAAAGGCAAGGAAGUUGUACCCGACGAGAACAGUUAAUUUGUACAAAUGGUGAGUAAACCUAUUAUUAUUUUAAAUUAUCUAGCGUUUAUUUUUAAAUGCUCUUUAUGUAUUUUAUGAAAUGAAAACGAGAUUAAAAUGGGAUUUUUGAUGUUUUAGAAAUAAAUGUGACAAAUAAAAAUAUAUUGUGUUGAUUAUGAAAUUGAGUAAUUGGAGGCUGCCAAUUAUUUUGAAAUAUAUAUUUUCCUAUGAAUGGCUUAUGANNNNNNNNNNNNNNNNNNNNNNNNNNNNNNNNNNNNNNNNNNNNNNNNNNNNNNNNNNNNNNNNNNNNNNNNNNNNNNNNNNNNNNNNNNNNNNNNNNNNNNNNNNNNNNNNNNNNNNNNNNNNNNNNNNNNNNNNNNNNNNNNNNNNNNNNNNNNNNNNNNNNNNNNNNNNNNNNNNNNNNNNNNNNNNNNNNNNNNNNNNNNNNNNNNNNNNNNNNNNNNNNNNNNNNNNNNNNNNNNNNNNNNNNNNNNNNNNNNNNNNNNNNNNNNNNNNNNNNNNNNNNNNNNNNNNNNNNNNNNNNNNNNNNNNNNNNNNNNNNNNNNNNNNNNNNNNNNNNNNNNNNNNNNNNNNNNNNNNNNNNNNNNNNNNNNNNNNCAUAAGCCUUAACAACUGUUUUGGUAAAUUACAAAUAUUUUAUGGUUUAAGGAAUAAAUGGAAAACCUUAUGAAAUGGUUUGUAAUUUGUUGUUUAAACUUGCCUCCAUGUUACUCGCCUUUAGAUAUUUAUGAUAAUGUCUGUUUACUCAUUGGGAUUGCAAAAUCUCACCCACUUCCUUUCCAAAUAUUUCAGGCCUGUGGUAGCUUGUAGAUACCCGAUUUUGUCGAGGAUUCCAGUUGACCCCUCUAUCUCACAGACAGUAGGUUACUAUCACCAACACUUGGUGUAUUUAUGGGCCACUUGUCAUUGUAAUUAUUAUUGUACAUUAUAGCUUUGUAAAUUAUUGUAUGUAUGAAUUUAUUUACUUCUGAGUUACAAAAGAUUACUUACACGUGUUUCUAUAAAUAUUGUUUUAUAUAAAAAUGCUAUAUUUUUGUCUUUUGACUUACUUGAGCCAGAAAUGAUUAAAAAUUGUUUAAAACGGAUAUGUAAGCCUUGUGGGGUUUCGAUUGGUAUUCCGGGUACUGAGUAUCAAUCGAGUCGUUGUGGCGGUUGUCAUGGGCCUAAGGGAGGUUCUGGGUUGUGACAGAAACUUUUGUGUCACAGUGGCACAAAAUGGGCACCACGACACUGGAAGAUGUUGGUAUAUGCCCUUAAGCCAAUUGGAUUGGUGAAGAAAUAUAUAUAUAUAUAUAUAUUGUCAUUUAAUGCAUAUUUAAUCGCAUAAUUACAUGUGAUAGAGGUUUUCCUUCAUAUUAGUGCAAUAAUAAGGAGUUAUUAAGUACUAAUUGGAUGAAGCCCAUGGAACAUAAAGACCUUGCAAGAGAAUUGUAAAGUUGUUACAAUUAUGAGAUUACUAUGUAUCAAAGCCAUGUUCCUAAAAUUGUUCCUAGUCAUUGUAUUGUCAAGACAGGGCAUUGACAAUGCUCAAAGACUAGUACAUGUUAAGCCUCCUUACUUGGAAAGUAAGCAAUCUAUCUCAUAGAUUGAAGUAUAUGGGAUACUUGAGGAUAACGUGUAGGUGUUUGUUAACGAACAAGUUCACUGAACAUGACCUGCUAUGAGAACUCCAUUUGGUAUUUCACUUAAGUGUCUAUGGAAAAUGUUCUCAUGUGAUAGUCGUGCAAUUAGUCCUUGGACUUGAGAUACCAGGUCAUCUUGUAUGGGGAAUAACAUACUUUGAUUUCACCCCUAUGGGUUUGUAAGUAACCAGAUGCCUAAACAGGGUGCUUUUGGGUAUGCCAUGAAGCAUGCGAAGGUGAAUGAGUGGUUAAGAGAGGAUUCAUCACCCCAAGUGAUAUGAGAGGAUGUACCUCACUUGUUCUCAAUUCUUGAUUAACUUGUAUAAAGUCUUUGGAUAAAGCAUGAUGAAUUUGAGGAAAGUUAGUUUUCUAAAUUCAUCAAGUUAGUCAUGAAUUAUGGGAACUAAUAUGGAAUGUUAUAAGUAGACACUGAGCCAUGCUUAAUGACAUAUCCGAGAUAUUUGAUGAAAGAACCAUAUUGCACUGAAAGGCUUAUCACUGAAGGGCUUUGUCAAAUUCUUUAAUUGACUCUCUAACAUUUGGGUGGUCAUGAUGUAUUGCUAGAUGCCGCUCAUGAUCUAUAAAUAUAAAUUAAUAAUCAAAUUGAUAUUUGAUUAUGAUUUAUAUUUAUUACCCACAGGUUAGAAGCCUAAUGAGUCACACACAUUAAGUGACAUGAUUGAGAUUAAAUAAGGAUAAUUAAUUAAGUUGGAAUUAAUUGAAAGAGAUCAAAAUAAAGUGAGAAAUUAAUUAAGGUUUCAGAGACUUAAUUAAAUUAAAAUACAACUGUAGUAUUUAGGAUUACAAAUUAGUUUAGCUAUAUAAAUAUAUUAUAUUAGCAAACUAGAACUUGAAGCCUCAAAAACCACUUCUCAGUUGUCUCAUAAAAUAAGAAAAGAAAAAUAGUUUUCUUUGUCUGAAAAAAUAAGAUUCAGCAAGAAUUUUUGGUCUUUUUGUUUUAGAAACAAUACUUGCUAGCACAAGUAAAAAUCCUACCUUUGAGAAGGUCUUAUUCAGUCACUAUGUGGAUUAAAUGUUAGAGGCCAAACACUUGGGUGGCUAAAGAUUUGACAAAUCCUAAAGGUGAAGAAACAAAGAUUUGGAUUUAAUUGGCUCUUGAUUACAAUAUCCAGAGUAAGGUAUGUAACUCUUAAACUUAUAACUGUUCAUUAUUAAUUUAAAAGUUACAUGAAAAACACAAACAUUGAUCUUGUGGGAUUCGACUGUUUCUCUGACUAAAUAUUAUUAUUUUAUUUUUUCACUGCGUUACUAUUUUUAAUUAUUGAUUAUUUUCAUGUUUGAGCAUGAGUUUAAAUCCCAGCAGAAGGAGGAAAAAGAAAAAAAUAGUCAAAGAACUUGGCACUGUAGUGUUGACAUGAUAGAGACCACAGGCAAAAAUUUUGGGAUUUCAUUUCGAUUAGGAUUCUAAGUCCUAUUUAAAUAUCCAUUCUGAGAAAUUGAAGGCAACAAUUAUGUUAGGUUUUCUUGGAAGAAAAAUAGUUGUCAAGCAAGCAAGAAAGCAAGGAAAAACUCUUGAAGAUUGAAGAUCGAAGACUUGACAAAUCCUAGCUUCCUUUUCUUCUUCAGUUCUUUUUAUAUUUUCUCUAUUUUGUGUUGAUGGUUAAACUUUUUUGGAUGAUGUUUUAAGGCCUAAAUUUCUUAUCUAGAAUUGCAAUUAAACUUAACAUGUAGUUUGAAUUUUUAAUACUCUCUUUUGCUUAUGAUUGAUUAUUUUUUAGUUGUUUAUUUCAAUCCUAUUCUUUAUGCAUUUGAUUGAUUGGCCACCAAUUAGAUUGAUUUGAUAAUCUAAACGGAAUUGAGAGAGGGAGUUUAAUGUAAGCCUUGGAUUAAAUAACAUAUGUUCAAUAUUAAUUGCAUGAGAUGAUUCAUUUGAUUCACGUCUGAGGUAGACAUGCACUUGCAUGUCAUAUGUAGCCAAUAUUAGAAUCUAAGCUUAAUGAGUCUUUUUUAUUUACAAAUUUCAUAGACAUAUAAUGAAUUGGUUAAGAGGGAUAAUUUUAUAAGAACCUCGAUGGAGACUUAUAAUUACAUUAUAACUUUAAGUUAAUAACUCGGGCCUAUCUAGUAAGUAAAAAGAGGGCAAAAAAGAUUCAAAUGGAGUGUUGAGGGGAUAUUGUAAUUCUAGGUCCUAUUUGAUUGAUUAAUUCUAUUUAAAUUGCGAUUCUUGUUCUUUGUUUUCAUUUCUUUAGUUUUUUAUAGUUUUAAAAAUUCGUUGUUUGAAUAAGAUUAAGUUGUGUUAAUUUUCAUACUUAGAAAAAGAUUUUGGUGCAAUUCUCUGUGGGAAUAAUACUUUACUUUCUAUUAUAUUACUUGUUAAUGGUACGUGCACUUGUGUGGUAAAUUCGACAAGUUUUUGGCAUUGUUGCUAGGGAUUUAUUUGCUAAUUUUUUUUGUUAAUAUUAAGACGAAGCAAUCUUAGUCUUAAUUCAAACUUUCCUUUUCUUCGUUUUUAGGUGCUUUUGGUUGUUGUAUGUGAAGAAUUAGAGAUUUGGAAAUUGUUCCUUUUGAUCUAGAAAUUAAAAAGACUUUUCAAAGAUUUCAGAGGGAUAAUCAACAAGUUUUAACUCAAUGCAACACAAUGGCUAAUCAAGAAGAGAACAAGUCCUCGCGAGAAUAUGUUGUGCCUCUUGUACAAGGCCUUCAUUCUAUCACCCGUAGACCUGCCAUCUAAGCCAAUAACUUUGAGAUUAAGAUAGCAAUCAUUUAGAUGAUUCAGACUUUAAUUUGGUUUGGGGGACUGCCAAAUGAUGAUCCUAAUGCGCAUAUUAUGGAUUUUUUGGAGAUUGUUUAUAUAUUAAAGACUAAUGGUGUUUUUGAUGAUGCCAUUGGAUUGAGACUUUUUUCGGUUUCAUUAGGAUAUAAGUCAAAGAGUUGGUUGAAUUUGCUUUUAGCUGGUUCCAUUAGUACUUAGGAUGAUUUGGCUGUUUUUUCCACCAACUAAGAUAGGAAAGAUGCGAAAUGAUUUCACCUCCUUUAUGUAAUUUGAUUUGGAAUCACUGUAUGAAUCUUGGGAGAGGUAUAAGGAUUUAUUUAUAAGAUGUCUUCACCAUGGGUUACCUAAAUGGCUACAAGUAUAGACUUACUAUAAUGGUUUGUUGGGACCAAUUAGAACCAACAUUGAUGCUACAACAGGAGGGCCAUUAAUGGGUAAAUUUAUUCAUGAGGCUUAUGACUUGUUAGAGGAGAUGGCUUCCAACAAUUACCAAUAGCCAUCUAAGAGAUUGGGUCCAAGAAGUUGUUGGUAUUCAUAAGCUUGAUGCAAUUAAUGCUGGGAUGGCAUGAAACUCAGAGAUAACAAUUAUCAUAUGCAAUGGAAAAUAAAAAUUUAAACUUACGAUGUCGUGCCGCCACCCAUGGAUCACCUUGGUGGUUUUAAUACAAACAAAAUUUAAGAUGAGUAAUCAAAAAUAUCACCUAGCCAAGUGAUGUUGUAAUCAUGACGGCAAAUCCUCUUGAUUGAGAGAAAAUUCGGCAUUACUCUUGUUUCUACUCAAACCUGUGAACUCUACUAAGAGAGGAAAACCCCAAGCCACCCAAGCGUUUGGUUUCCAACGGUGUGCACAAAAUUACACUUGAACCUUCAGCAAGGUAAGAGCUUUUAACUACUCUUUGUGCUAGCAGAGUGGACAAAAAUUGUCCUUGUCUUCAUACACACUAUAGGCUGGACCACUUUAGAGAAAUUCAUCACAAGAAUUUUAUCUCAAACAAAAGAGACGGCUAGAGAAUGUUUUUGUUUUUGACAAUUGGGGUUUCAUCGUCAUAUGUGAGAAGUAGUUAAAGGCUAUAUUUAUACCUAGGUAAAACAGCUCCAUAAUUGCAACUAGGGGCCUAAUAUUAUAAUCUAUUAUAAUAUUGGCACAAUGCUUAAUUAAACCUUUUUAAUUUAGUCCGUGGAAUUAAAAUCAAAUUAAUUUAUUUUGUCAUGUUUGCAAUUAAGGUUCUAAUAUCAUAACUAUUUAUAAUAUUGACCUUACACUAAUUACUAGAAAUUAAUUAAAAAAACUAAUUGACAAUAAUUAAAAAUCAAAGUAGAAAUUUAAUUGGAUAAAAAUCAAAUCAAACAAGUCUAGGAUUACAAUAUCCCUCACAUUUCAUCUAAAUCGUACCUCUUUUCCUUAACUUAUUCCAAUAGGUUGAAUUGCUAAUCUAAAGUCCAUAAUUAUUUAUAAGGCUCUCUCGAUACUCUUAUAAAAGUUUCUAUUUUAAUCAAAACACUUUAUGUUUAUGUGAAUUGAAAUUAAAAUAGAUUCAUUAAGUUUAGUCUCUAAUACUGGCUACAUAAGGCAUAUAGGUAUAUCUUUAUCUUAUACAUAAAUCAAUUUAUUCAUCCAAGAACAUAAAUAUGAUCAUAUACUAUUCUAAUUUUAGCCUACUCUAAACUCCCUUUCUCAAGUUUAGGUCUCCAAAUCAAAUUAAUUAGAGGCCAAAUAAUUAAAAGCAUUAAUAACAAAUUGGAAUAUAUAAUCCAAUUCCAUUGACAAUAAGCUAGAAAGAGACUAAAAAUUUAAACUACAUGUGAGUUCAAUUGUAUUCCUAGAUAAAAGAAAUUCGAUACUCAUAAUCGCAAUAAUAAAUGAAAAACAUAUGAAGUUUGUCCAUCAAGAGUAAUAAGAAUAAUAAAAGCUAAGGAAGAAGAAAAGCAAAUGUUGGUAGCCUUAAUCUUCAAUCUUCAACAUCAACUUUUAACUUAUUGAAUCUUUCUUAGGGUUGUCUUCUUAUAGCUAACUUCUCCUUAAACUCUUUUAAAUACCACUAACUUAACCUAUUCUCCCUAAUUAGGCCUAAUUGGCUCUUAAUAUGGGCUUUAGAAUAAGUGUAGAGACCAUAUACCCUUAACAAGCCAGUAGCCUUGCCUUUCCCGCACCAAACCUUCAAAAUUUUCCUCUCAACACUGUGGCACAGCCCUUUUUUCAUCACUCCAUCUUUCUCUCUUCAUUUAACUCUAACCUCAAAAUACUUCAUAGAAAGAUUAAAAUGCUUAAGGGUGAAAGGUUCAAAAUUGGAAGUACAUAAAAAUGCUAAGGCUAAAAUAAAUAUGUGCUUGUCAAAAAAAAAAGAAAAGGGAAAAUUAGGUUCAAAAAGGGUUAGUAAGGACAAAUAUGUAACAAGGUAGGCUCACAAAGGCUCAAACAAUUUAAAGAUAGCUUAAAUCAUUUUCUACCCUAGUUGUUAUUUAGGAUUUCACCUUAAGAGAGAAUCAAAUAAAUUUUGGAAUCCUUGACUUCACUAUACUUUUAUUAACAUAAUUUUUUUCUAAAUUACAUAACAAUUUUAAAUAAAAGAUUGAGUAUUCAAAUUAUUGGAAUUCUCAUCCUAUAAUGAAGCUAACACAAGAAUAUCAACACAAACGUAAAUCAUAUCCAUAUUUUUUCCAAGGGCUAAAAUCAUAAGGAAAUCAAAAUAUCAACCUAUGAUAAAGAAAAUCAUAAGCAAGCUGUCAAAACAUCUCAAGUAAGUUUUUUUAUCUUUUUAAUUUUUAUAGAAAUACAAAUUAGCAAAAUUUAAAAACAAUAAAAAAAUUAAGCAAACCAUAAAGACACAAACAAAACAAAAUCUAAAAACACCCCCAUAAACUUAAAAUGAAACAUUGUCCCUAAUGUUUAAGAAAAAGAAAUAAAAAUAAAAUAAAAAGAAAGGAAAACGAAAACUCCCUUAAGAAUUGGCAGAAAGAAUCUAGAUGUCGUCCUACACAUCAUUGUCAUCAGCUUCUUUAACAUUGUUGGGAUCAUUUGGCAUGUGAAACCUCUACCUUCAUAGAAAUGUAACGGAGGUAGACACGAUGACGCAGAUUAGGGGUAAUGUUGUCAUUUUCCUUGGUGAGCUCCUAGAAGUGGGUUUUUUAAUAUUAUUAAGGUUCAAGUAGGCCUAAGGAAUAAAUGAAUGAUGCAUAUAAUAAUGAAAUAAAUAAAGAAAAUAAAAAUAAUGAUAAUUUCCAUAGUAUGGGUAAAAUGGUCAUUUUGGACCUCGGGUAUAAAUUUUUAAGUUUUCGUGAACUCAAGUACUCCCAGUCUAUUAUGGACCUUUUCUCAGUGUUAAAAGAGUAAAAGGUUGAGCCAAAGGGAAGAAGAAGGCAAAGUCAACUAUGCAAUGGCAUUUUUAUAAAUAAGUAGAACUUUAGUCAACUGUAGGAUAAAUAUCUCGUUUUUUUCCAACACUUUCUCCUCAUUUCCAGUAGCUUCUUCUUCUUCUUCCCAUCCUUUUUCCUCACUAAAUGUUUUAUAUCUUCCAUGGAAGCCAUCCCUUGAAACCUCCAUAACUUUCUCAAAGUAACUUUAAUUCUUAUGCUUUGGUACACUUUUUCAUAGGAUUCUUUGUGCUUUUUGACUUGUACACCUCAAGAACCCUCAAAAGUCUUUCCUCAAUGCUUUCUCUCACUAGUUGGAUGUUUUAGAGAGAGAGAGUGUGACUUUCCAUAAUAGCUUGACAAACUCUUGAAAAGGAAUUCAACUACAAAACCACCAAGAUAAGUAGUGAGUUAGGGUUGAUUUUUAAGUUGUUGAUGAAUGGCCAAUGGUUAGAAUUGUGGAUUGUCUUAUUGUUGAAGGUUAUUUAUUUAUUUUUAGUGAGGCUAAAUUAGUGCAAAGUAAUGACUAGUCAAAUGGUAAUUGGAAGCUAGUUAGGAAUAACUAGUAAAACUUGAUUUAGGAAACAACAUUUGGGAAUAGUAUUCAUGUAAAUUGAGUUGGUGUGAUGCCAUUGUGUGUGAUAGGUUCCAAUGAGACCCCACAUCUCCACUUGGAGCAUUAGUGGAAGUCAGAGUCGAUUAAAGAAUCAACCAAGACAAGUGAGUGAACUUGUAUCUAAAUUGUUUUGGCAAAUGCAUAUGUGUUUGAAUGAAUCAUUUGAAAAUUUUAUUUGUUUUUUUGCUUUAAAAUGUACCUGGGGAACAAGCCCUUGAUGAAAUGUUCUUAUAUUGUGAAAUGUGCAAUGUGAUUAGUUCAUGUGUUCCUACAUUAUGUUGAUGUGUAUGUUAUGCAUUGAAUGGUACUAUUGUGUGAUAAUAAUAAUCGUGCGUGUGCGGUGUGGGAGUGCACACGCCGAUGAUUUAUGCCAUGUGCGGUGUGGGAGAGCACAUGAUGCUGAUGAUGAUAUUGUAAUGUGCGGUGUGGGAGUGCACAUGAUGACCUAGCUAUGUGUGGUGUGGGAGUGCACAAGAGCUGGGGGAGAGUUGGGGUGAUGUCGGUAGUUGUAUAUAUGUUUAUAUAUGUUAUAUAUAGAGAGGUUAUGGAAAAUAUAUUGUGAUUGCAUUGAAUAUUGAAUGUUAAAAUUUGACAAAUGCUUUCCAAUUGAUUUUCACUACAACAAAAAUGGAUUUUCGUUGUGACAAGAAUUCUUUUAAUUUUAUUGCCUUGUUUCUCACUGUAGCAAAAUUUCAUUCUCGCUCCAGUGAGAAACUCUAGGGUGCUGGGGCUUGACUAGCUCAUAUUUUUGCUGUAGUGAAAAUGCAUUCUCCUUGCAGCGAGAAACUCUCGAGUGUUGGGGUUUGACUAGCCCAGAUUUUCGCUGCAACGAAAAUGCAUUCUCACUACAGCAAGAAACUCUUAGGUGGUUGGGUAAAAUGUUUGCCUGGGUUUUUGCUGUAGCGAGAAACUCUUGAAUGGUUGGUUCAACAUGUUGCCUGAAUUUAGCUACAAUGAGAAUGCCAUUUUGUUGUAGUGAGAUUCACUCUGCCAUGCUUGCCUUGCUUGGACUUUAUCGUAGUUUUCACUCUUUAACUUCAUUGUUGAUCAUGGAUCUUUCAACACUAAGGCACUAAAUAAUCAAGGGUUGAGUUGAGGGGUUUUAACAAGAAAUUAAGCUAAAUUGCAUUGUUUUCAACAUAAGUGCAUAAUGUUUUCUAAAACUUCCCGUAUUGAUGCUUGCUCCCUUCCUAUGUUCACUCACUAGGUUUAUACUCACUCUUUUCAACUUCAUGUUUUCAGAUUCGGAGGUAGUUGGGACCUAGAUUGAGGUGUCCAUGUAUAUUCAUCUUUUUGGUAGGUACCAUGGCAUUUAGUAGCUAUACCUUCACCUAAGGUCACUCUGCUGGAAGUCAAGAGUCUUUUUGCUUAUGUAUACGUACACGUGAUGUAAAUCACUAAAAUACAUGUCAUAAACAAUAUAUGUUUAUUUUGAUUAAUUUUGCCACUAUGAGUUGGCAAUGGGUGACAUUAUUUUGGAUGAUAUAAAUGUAAGUAGUUGGUUUCUAUAUUAUUAUUGUUUAAAUAAUUAUAGUUGAGAAUUACGAAAUAUGGCAUUUAAAAUGAUGGAUGUAGUGAUGAACAGGAUCACAUAAAAAGGUUUGCUUGGGCUUAGUGG